rnacentral:lncRNA from 1 species
UAAAGAUAACUAUAUGGCAGAAUCUGAGACUGGAAAAUGAAUUGAAUUAAGGAAGAUAGUUACCUUCGGCUGAAUCUGAGUUCAUGGAGAAAAGGUGAGGAAUCUUUAUAUGCAUGUCUGCUUCUGCUUCCCUAGUAGCACCCUCAACGGACUGAUUUUGACACAAAACUUUAACGAAGGGAACUUCUUUGUUCUGAUGAUCAAGAAUCUCUGCUGGAACUUCUUCAUAUGAGAGGCUAUUCUAAAUAUCUGUACGUUCUAGAGUGAUUAUAAUGGAUGAAUUGUCCAUACAAUUCUUUAAUAAGGACACAUAGAACACUGGAUGAACUGACGACAAGUCUAAGGGUAGCUCAAGCUCAUAUGCUACCUUCCCAACACGAUUCAAAAUCCUGUAGGGGCUUACAUAUCGAGGACUAAGCUUCCCAUUUUUGACAAAUCUCUUCACCCUAUUCAUGGGUGAAACCUUAAAAUACAUAAGAUCAUCUACUUCAAACUCAAGAUCUCUAUUUCUUAUGUCUGUAUAAGAUUUCUGACGAAUCUAAGCUACUUUUAAUCUCUCUAGAAUCAACUGAACUAUCUCCAUGGCUUCAAAUACCAUAUCUUGCCCAAUCAAAGUGGCGUCACCCACUUUGAACGAAUCGAUUGGUGAUCUACAUCUCCACCUAUAAAGAGCCUCAAAUAGGGCUAUCUGAAUAUUUGAAUGGUAACUGUUAUUAUAGGGAAACUCAAUCAUCCCAACUGCCUUUGAUUUGAGGUUGGAGGGGAUGUUUUGCUUACUGGGGACAUAAAAACGUUCUAAGUUGAGGGUGUUGAUGUGUAAUAGAAAUAUAUCUCUUUUGACACUUAAAAUGAGGAAACUAUACAAGUUUCUAAGAUUGUUUUGUCAGAUAUGAUAUGUUAUGGGUAUGUUUUGCAAGAAAUGAGGUUAUGGAUGCAAAGUUCAUGACAAAAGUGAAAAUGGUGUUUUUGGCCAAUUAAUUAAUCAUUUAUGGAAUGUUCGUGAUACUUUCUUGAUUGUUCGUUACCAAUUCAUGUGAUUAAAUUGAAGAAAUUGAAGUUUGGUUGCAAGGAUUGGAAGGCCCUGCACUUGCUAAGUAUACAGAAGGACCAUAAGUAGCACUUGUGGUUGGUAUGUGAAAAUAAGUACAGGAGUUGAAGAUUUGAAGAUCUAGAGAGUAAAAGAGUUGAAAAAGUGUGGCCAACACUCGAUAAGUCAGCAUGUGGAUCACAAGUACCACUUAUGGAACGCAUGUUGGAAAAGCAAGUGCCAGAGGACAAAAACCCCGAGAGCUAGGCUGAAGGUCUUGUACCUGUGGUCUGUACAUGUGCCUGCCCUGCAUGCCGGAAGUACCACUUACGCCUAAGGGCAGACCGUAAGUGUAUGGCGCAAGUGACCACCGACUCAGCUUUUAUUUUUUUAUUUGUGCUUUGAUUUUAGGGUUUCCUCAUGUUCUAUAAAUACCCAUUAUAUGAUUUUUUGAAAAAUAAAAUGCACUUUUGAUAUUCACAAAAAUAUUUCGAUUCCAACAUCCAAUUUUUAUCUUGGGAUUCUCUUGUAUUAACUUUAGUAGAUUAAUUUAGUUACGAUUGUGGCUUUUUCUAUUUAUUAUUGUGAUUUAAUCUAUGCUUUCAAUCAUGAAUUUUAUUGAUUAUUUCACAAGCAUGAGCGGCUAAAAACUUAUAGCUAGGGUUGUGGAAACCCUUGUAUAUUGACGACGUAGGGGAAGUGCUAUUGUUGUUCUGAACUGAUACCCAUUAAUGUAUUUUAGUAUCUUCACUUUAAUAGUUAUUUUAGUGGUGACCAAUGUUAACAUCCCGCCAAGAUUGUUGCUACUUACUCCAAAAGAGGAGUAGUGACUAAGAAAAGAUAACGAUAACAGUAAUUUAGAGUUUAGUUUUCAAUCCACACUACUAGGCAUUAUCUGAGUAAGAUUGUUAGCUAUAAUCUAAUAACUAGAGACUCAAAAGGUAAUAGUAAACUAGGAUCAAGAUAAGUUUUAGUAAGGAGACAUCCUAAGACUCAAAGGUAAAGGGUGAAAUUCAUCUGCUCUUCUAAAAAAUAGUAGAUGGUACAUAAAUUAUCAGAUUUUUCAUAUAAGGUAUCGGUUUGGUUCAACAAAGCACGAUAAGCCUACGUAGUUGAGAAGUCGGGGAAUACAAUCCUAGUGUUCACCAAUACUGAUUUCAACAAAAGUCAAUAUUUUCUUCUUGUUCGAUAUUGCUAUUCAAACCCCCUAUUUACUUCUCCAUUUUUUCCAUUGAUUACCGCAUCUGAGAUCCACAAGUCCAUGUAUUCUCUUGGGAUUCGACCCCAACCUUUAUUUUGUUACUAUAUUUGAUAGUUACUGUAAUUAUCUUUGAAAUGAAGGUGUAGCUAGGUGUUAAUCAUCUAACAAAUGACAAUGAUAAUGAUGAUGAUAAUGAAAAUUAUCAACUUGAUUAUAAGAAUGUAAAUAGAUAAAAUUCCUAAUCCUUCUAGAGAAUGAAAGCUCGCCACUUCACCACAAAGAACCAACGAACUGAACUGAUCCACCUAACUCUACAUAGAAAAAGUAGAUUUGCCUCCGGACCAUGCAACACAUGGGGAUAUAGGGUCUGGAGACGGUUAGUGGUGUGAACACUAGCACAAAACUCAGGUAAAAAGUGAGAAAACUAAUUCCAUAGUAACACUUCAAAAUAAGUCAAAAUCCAAUUCACAUAACCAUAUACAAAUACAUAUAUAUGCAUAUAGUGCAGGGAUAAUGAAUAAGGUUUAAUAUGCUGUUUAAAACUUUAGCUUGAAUUUUGUAGCUUAACAUCAUAAGUUAUGCAUGAACCCAUGGGCUAUAUGGGCCGAGUUCUUCCCCAACUUGUAGCGACCCAAUUUAUAUGGACGUAUGAAAUAGAGGGCAUACGUACGCACUAUGGGGGACUCAAACUACCUGACAUAUCAGAGUGACACAAAUACCAAAUCAUAUAAUAUGAUGAGGGGGAAUUGAACCUCCAAAUCAAAUUAUUUUAAUAAAGGAGACUCAAACAACCCAGUCAUAUAGACCCCCGCGUUGGCAAUCGCAGUUUCCAGUAUUGGUCCUUCGGGACCUCCACUUUUACGACUCAGCUGCAUAACCCUCAUUAAACCCAAUUAAACAUUUAACACAUACAUUCCUAUUUAUUGAACCAUGAUACAUAUUUAGGCAUACAUUGUUAGCAUCAUCACAUCAACUAUACUAUCAAGGUAACAUCAACAUGCUACACCAAUUAUCAUCACUUUGGGUAAUUCAUACCCCCCUUGGUUCAAUUGAAAAUCACUAUGCUUCAUUAGUUUUUCAGAUUAUGCAAUAAUUCAAGAAUAGUUCAAUUUGCAUACUUUUCAUAUUCAAAACCAAUUUCCACAAUAUGGGGUAGAGAUCAGGUCAUAACUACUUAGAAAGUCACAAGUUUGGGGUUAAUCACAAUCCCUAGUUCGUUAAUGAUACCCUUGCACCCACAAGCUCAAAACCAUAAUUAAAGCAUAAAUAAUCAUGGGUAAGUCGUAGGAAACAUUGUUCAAUCAAUAAGUAUUCAAAACACUCAACUCUUAUUUCAAGCCAACAUCAAUACCAAAUCAAGAAGUCUUUGAAAAUAAUGUUUCUACCAAAUUAAUAGUUUAGGAAAGAGUAACCUACCUAAAAUACCCAGUUUCAUAGAAACAAUUCAACACAUGAACCCUUGGAUGACCUACUUCUUGGAUACCCUACGAAUGGCUACUUAAGAAACUUGAGAAUGAUUUUAGAAGUGUUUGAUUACAUGAUGAAUAAGAAAUAACCACUCUUAAGUGCCUUAUGAAUGUGGGGAUUUAAUUAGGUGAGAAGGGAAUUGUCCAAAGUUCCCUCAAUUUAAAAAUUAAGAUUUAGUCAUCAGUGACUACGAGUCACUAUAUGACUCAUAUUGUCUCAUUAUGACUCGAUACCAUGAGUCAUACAUAAAAUGCUUUCCAUGAUACCCACAACUGAUGAUCCUAUGAAUAAAUUGGUAUGACUCAUAAUGGGACCCUACAACUCAUAGGGUACAAUCGCUUUCAUCUAAGAACCUAUUUGUGGUAAACAUUGGAUACCCUACAAUUUCCAUCCCAUGACUCGUAACAAGUAAUUACGACUCAUAGUGAUCCAAUCCUACUAAUAGCAUAACGUAGACACAAGCUUACUGAUUUGUUUAUGAUUUGAUCCAACGACUCGUUAAGACUCCUUAUGACUUGUCAGGGGUGUCGUUGUUAGGAUAGUGAGGAUAAAAUUUUAGAAAUUUUCAAGGACCAAAAACCUAGGGUGUAAUAGAAAAUGAAAGAGGUAAAAUAAAAAAAUUAUUUUAAAAACACAUUAUUCAAGGUUAUAGUAGUAUUCUUAAGAAAACUCGUGCGAAAACGUAGUAAAACUAAGGUCCAAAUUGAAGAAAUUCCUUUUUCAACUUUAUCAGUAAAACCCCAAAAGUUUCAUUUUGAAAUCAUGAUUUUAAAGUGUUUCUCAAUAUAUAAUCAAUGAAAAAUAAUGAGAAAAGGGAUUUUUUACGACUCGAACCAGGGUUGGCUAUGACGGGUAUCUCAAGUCCAGCAAGGAUCGGAGACCACCCUCUUUACCUAGGUAAAUAGAACAUAACACACCCGACAAUGGCUGAAUUUUGAAUAUAUAAAAAUAUAGAAAUUAAUGAGUUCAAAGACAUCUAAGAGUAUCAAAAUCAAUACUCAAUCCACAAUAAUAUCCAUAAAGCCUCUACACUAGAAAACAACCUACGCCGGGACAUGCCAGCGACCCUAAAAAUGACUAUGACAAUAACAAUAACAAUAUAAAUGUAAAUUCUUCAAUUCUAAUUUAUGGAAAGAAAAACUGGUGGGAUGAUCAAGUCUUCCAGAGAAUGGAAUCUCACCACUUCACUACAAUGACCAAAUCUGAGAUCAUCUAUCACUUCUUAUGAAAAGUAGAAGUGCCUUCGAACCCUACAUUGUAUGAAGAUACAGUGUCUAGAGAUGGUUAGUGGAGUAAGCACUUGUAUAUAAAUCAUGAUAAGGGAAAAAUAAUGUCAGUGAAAAUUUCAAUUUCAAACUCACAGUACAUGUUCACUUACAUACAUAUAUAUAAUAGAUGUUGGGGUACAGAACAAGGUUUAGCAUAAUAGUAAAACAUUAUCCUAGACUAUGAAGCUCUACCAUCAUAAACAGGCACCAACAGGCUCUAUGGAUUCAGCUCCCUUACUAAAAGGUCCCCAGUGCCAGUUAGUCACAUUAAUUGGGGGUAUCAAGGAAGACCAGGGAAUGCCCCAACCCCACAUAAAUCGUAGAAACAAAAUAUAUCAAUAUUGUGAACCAUGCAUACAUUCAUCAAGACCAACUCUCAUGUCAACAGAGGUGAUUUUCCAGUAUAAGUCAUUCGAGCCCACACCUUCAUGGCUUAGCUACAUAACCACCAUUAAGCAAAAUUAAAAUUUUCACAUAACCCAUUCAUUAACAAAGGAAUUAUCCAUUAAGGCACACCAUAGGUAUCAUCAUACCAUUUAGUUUACAAGCUUAUAAUCAUGCCAUUACAAUUUCGUUAACCUAGGGGAAUGCCUCAACACCCUUUAUUUACUUAAUCAAAUUGGAGAAAUGCCUCGAUCUCCUUUAAUUUAUCAAAUCAAAUUUGGGGAAUGCCUCGACCCCUUUUUGUUCAUUAAAUCAAAACAUAGCCAACAAGGCCUUUAAAAUAUAUGUUCAUUGUUUAACUAUUUAUGCAAUUCUAUAGUAUAGGUGUGUAAGUCAAACUAAGAGAAAAUUCCACAAUUCAAAACCCUUUACACUAGUGGGUUGAGGGAAUACAAUUCCUCAAAACCAAUUUCCAAGUUCAAAAAAUCAAUUUGAGGGAUUGCCUCGACCCCCAUUUUAAUUCUCACACCCAUGCACCCCAUUAGUUAAAAAAUUGUAAAUUCAUAGAAUGAACAACUCAUGAAAACCAUUGAAAAACAAUUCAAAGAUCAACCAUUCCAAAAGCCUCAACUUAUGUCCAAACUCAUAUUCAAAUCUAUAUAAUUAGACCAUUUAAAACAUAUGCUUUUCACAAAAUAAGAUAUAGGGAAGAGUAACAGGCCUUAAUAUAUCACAACUAUGGAGAGAAAUCACCCUUGAGAGUGUUAAUUGACCAACUUCUUGGAAACCCUCGGUGUCCUUGACCUUGGAGAUUUGAUAGAGGUUAAGAGGUUAUUGUGAUUUAUUAAUGAUACCCUAUAGAGGUUUUAAGUUGUCAAUCACGAUUAGGGAAUAGGGGAAAAGUCAAAAGUGACCUUAAUGUAAUACUGAAAAUUUGUCGCCUAGUCACUAAAGGAGACCUUACGACUCGUAGGGUUACUUUACAACUCGUGACCUCCACUCAUAGUCUGGACAAUGUCCAUGGGCACACACAUUAGUCUGGUAUUUAGACAUUAUGGAUUGUUAGGUUCAACCAUAGUCAUGAAAGAAUCAAUUCAGCACUACACUAGUGAGGCUACAAAUAAGCAAUAUACAACUCAUAAUGAGUCUAGAUGACUCCUAUAGUCUUAAUCAUGAUCAAAAUAGAAACUUUGCCAAACAGACUGGUCAGGCUACGAUUAGGGUCCUCUAACCCAUAUUGAUACCUUACGACUCAUAGGGAGUGUCAUAAUCUAGGAAUUGAGCCCCUAGGUCAAGAAAUUAUACAGGACCAAAAUUUGGGGUGUUUCAGUUUUGUAGCUUAACCAAGCAUAAAUGGUGAAUAAAUCCUCAAGAUUCGUCUACACUCAAAGCUUUGAGCUCAAAAAAUAAAAGAAAAUAUAAAAAUAGGUUCUUAUAUCAACCUAGCUUUGGCCGACUGAGCAGUCAAAUGACUGCUUAAGCAGUUAUAGCUAAAGCAAUGGGUGACCACUAAAGUGUUCUAUCCUACGAGGCUAGGCCUGCUAAAAUUGUCCUCUUUUGCCAAUCUAGUAAAGUUCCUUCUUUAAAGAUAGGAGACGAGGCAUGCAUAAAUACUAAAGUGGUGCUCUUUUGCUUAAGAGGCCACCGCUUAAGCAAUAUUUUAGCCGCAAAGUGACGCCACCAGCUUAAGCGGCCACGUCUUAAUCAGUAUUUUACUUGUUAAAGCGAUCGCACUAGCUUUAGCUGCACCAACAAUUUUCUGGAUUGCAAAGUUUUUGGCUGACCCCUUGGAAUUCAAUUUGAAUUCAAAAAACACAAAAGAACUAUGAUACAAGGUUAAUUUUGAAAUUUCGAAGGCGAUUUUUUAUUUUUGUAAAAAGUUUUUUUCACAAAAUUAACCCCGAGACCACUUUUCACUAUUUUCUAAAUAAAGGAUUGAAAUAAGACAUAAAGGUCCCAAAAUCAAACCAAUCCAUCUACUAGAUAAAAUUUGACAUUUGAAAUCUACUAGCAUAGUCCAAAUUAACGUUUGGCACUCUGAUCAUAAAAUGUUGACCAAAGUCAACUAUAUGGCUUCUCAAGACUUUAAAAGACCAUAAACUAGCACAAAUUAUUUUCAAUCGCAUUAAGAAUUAUGAAAACCAUCUCCAAACCUCAAAAUCAACAUAUAGAAAUGGAAAAUUCAUAAAUUCAGAUCCUUAAGUAUCCAAUACUGAAAAUCUAGUUCUCCCUUGAACUAAAAGUAAAGAAAUACUUGAGUUAGUGUAAAGCUAGGGAUUACUACUAAGCAUGUCAAACUUGGUCUUCCAAGUACCCUCCUUAAUAAGACAGUUUCUCCAGUUAACCUCAACUACAAAAAUAUCUCUAGAACACAAUUGUGUAACAUCUCUAGAUAAAAUAGAGAUCAACUCCUAAACAAAGGCCAACAUCUCAUCCAGCAGAACUGAAUUCCAAUGAAGAACAGAAGACUCAUCGAGAAUAUAGCACCAAAGCAUAGAUACAUACAAAAAUAGAUGAACAAUUGAAAAUUCUAGAGGUAAGCCAACUCAAAAGCAACCUCCCCAAAUAUCUGAAGAUUCUCAAAUGAUCCAGUGUACCUCGGGUUAAGCUUGUCCUCUUUCUAAACCUUAUCACACCCUUCAUGGAUGACACAUAAAGGAAGACUUGAUCACCAAACCCAAAUUUUAAAGCACAAAGUCUACAAUCCACAUAAUUCUUUUAAGUAUUUUGGGUGGUCUGAAUCCUAUCCUAAAACACUCAAACUCUAUCCAAAGACUCAUGAAGUUAAUCAGUACCACAGGGUCUAACUUCUGAGGUCUCAAACUAAUUAAUAGAAGAUCAACAAUGCCUACCAAACAACCCAUCAAAAGGGGCCAUCUCAAUACUUGAAUGGUAGCUAUUAUUAUAAGCGAACUCUACCAUUAAUAGUUCAUAAAUAUUUUAGUUGUAGCUAAAAGGUUUAUUCAUGGUACAUACAAUUGUCCAAGUGUAUGUUCCAUAUAUCAACAAAAUCAAUAUGACAAUGGUCAACUAUUAUUAGGAGCACGAUUAUUAGAUUCUAAAAAUAUUAUGCUACACGAGAAGUAUAAUGGAGUGACAAAAAAGGUAGAAGUCUUAGAGAAUAAGAUAAAAUAUAGAUAGAUUUUUUGGUUUUAUCUAAUAUUCAUAAAUGGUAUGUACAAAUAAUAAAAUCUAUAUAGAAGGAUGACUGAGUUGGUUGACCAAGUAAUUUUUUAAUUGAGGGUCUUAUCUUUGAAAUAUUUCUUCAUAUUUUUUUGAUCAAACACGUUACACUGGCCUGUGCAGAUCUAGAGUGUAUAGAGGGGUUUUACUCGAACCCUCUUGACAAAAUAUUAUACCUUAUAUAAAGGGUAUUUUAUUUAGUAUUUAUGUUAUAUAUAUAGAGAGAGAGAUUUUGAACCUCUUUGAAUAUUUAUAAGAUUAGAAGUUUCCUCAGUAUUUGAGGAGGUUAAAAAUUCACGUUGAGAUUCUUAGUAGAUUACAUUUUAAUUUUUGAACCCCUUGGUGAAAAUCCUAAAUCCAGUACUUAGCAUAGGGCCUACCAAAUAUAGUAAACCUCUUCAAUGUAAAUUGUGAGCUAUUACUUUGAAGCGGGGAGCUAUGUGUAGUUUUGAUAAUGAGCAGCUAAACUGCAAGGAACCAGCUCCCUAGAUGUGCAAAGUACUGUACAGCUGGAACAUGGUAUCUAAACAUUUUUUCCAUUUAUGUAACAAAUUUGUCGAUGUUGGUUUGUACCAACUUGGAUAGUUGGUCCAAUGAUAUUCUAUCCUUAAUCAUCACCCAACAAUAAAAGGGAAAAGACAGCUCUUAAACAAUUAGUUUUUGCAUAUCCUAAAGUGUGAAAAGAGAGGUAGCAAAACCCCAUUUCAUAACUCCUCAAGUUAUUAGCAUUAUCUAUGAGCUUAAAUUAAAAUUAUUCUUGAGUGAGUGUUGAAUUGUAAUUGAACUAAUCAUGGUAUAAGAGUAGUGUUUUCUUUUAGAGAGAUCUACUUAGAGUUAUCUAAACAUUGUUGUUGAUUAGAGUUAGUCAGCAGAGAGAAUCCUUGGUAGAGUUACCAAGAUGAGCUUGUAGUAAAGUUUCUAUAUGCAAAUGGAGCCUAAAGGUAGGCUUAAAUCUAGACUGUAAAUAAAAAUUUGAUUAUAGUGGAUUUCUUUGAUGCUUUUGAGGGUAAGUCAUGGUUUUUUCCAUGUUGGGUUUCCACGUUAGAAACUUGUGUUUAUACACUUCCUACAUUGCCUUUAAUUUUAAGUACCUCAUAAUUGCUCUACUGAUUUAUCACUUGAUAUUGAUCCUGACGGACCUAGUCCCUCACUAUGUGGUGUAACCCCCAAGUGUUCAAAAAUUGGUAUUAAAGCUAGUUCACUCUAAAAGGUUCAUAAAUAGAGUGUCAUGGUCAUCAUGACUUAUAUAGCUAAACUAGGAGAUGAAAGAUGAGAAUCUAGCCAAUGCAAAUGAUGAGUAAAAAUUUUAAAUCAUCCUGAAAAAAAGGUGGAGCUAGCUGAUAGUAAAACAGGUGUUGGUGGUAUUGGAAGACUCCUAUAGUACUACAACUAAGGAUGAGAAGAUAAGAGAUGUCUCUAUACUAGCAGUGGAAAACAGUUUGGUUAUUAUGACUCCAUUUUUGUAUUUUUGGCACUCACAAACAUGAAGAAGGAAAUGAGGUAACACUUCUUUAUCUUAAAGAAAAUCUAGGUAACUAAACUUUUAUGGAAAUAAAAAAUCUUUCUAGUAUGGUGAUAGACUUUAUUUGUGAAAUAACUCCCGAGAAGAAUGCAUUCGAGAAGAAAGUAGAGAAUUAAGAACAUAAGUUGAUUGCCUCGAAUAUUAAGAUUUCAAAAACUAAAGAAAUGUUUUUUAAGUUGAAACCUGAGAAUCUUUGUUGUAUGAGUCAACUAAAAAGGGGAAAUGAGUUCGAUGACAAAAAGAAGAAGGAAGCCUCAGGGAUUCAAAUUGUUAUUGAAGAAAAGUAGAGGGAUUCUGAAAAUCACCUUAUGGAUACACUUUAAAGAAUUAAAAAUUUUGAAAAGGACCUGGUCCACUUAGGAGAAGAUUUGAAUAAAUCUCUCAAAUGGACUACUUUUUCACAAACUCUUUCUAAUCUACUUAGUCAAAGUGUUAAUAAUAAUAGAGGGUUGGGACAUCAAGGAGAAAUUCAACCUAUUUAGUCAAAAGGAAGGAAUGCUCAUUAUGUUGAAAGCAAAAAUUAUGAAUUCAAGAGUACUCACAAUGGAAGAAAUGGACAUCUGAAAGAAAAAUGUCAAUCCUAGAUUUAAAGCUAAAUAAUGAAAAGGUUGAUUGUGUUCUCUCUUUCUCUCUCUUGAUACUUGAAGAUAGAGGUGUCAUAUUUUGGAAUGGAUGAUUUCAGGGGGCCUGGUUCCAAAGAAAUUCAUAUUAAAGGAAUCUUCACUAGAAUAAAUAACGUGAGAAUCAGAUUCACCUCCAAAUAUUGGCUAGGACAAGGGGACAGGUAUCCAUGAUAGAGUUGGUGUAUGCUAAUCAAACUCAGUGUCAUACCUUUGCAGGUAUACACCUAAGGGAACAAAUUUGGCAGGAAACAAUUAAAGCAAACAUAAGUUGAGAUCACACUCAAAGAGGAGAGGGACUUAGUCCCAUCUCUCAGGUGAUUACCAAAAUGAUAUUCCUGUAAUGUUUAUAAGAUUUCUAUUUGAAAAGUCUACUUGUUUAAUUCCAUAUAUAUAAAAGUUGUCAAAUUCAUUCAAAAGUAAAAGAUUCACAAUGGUUGUCAUUAGAUACGUCUGUUCAAAAAGGGUGGGUCUUAAAUAUGAAAUGGUCAUCUCUUUAUUGAAACCCUAUCAAUUCAUUAUUUUUACAAUUAACUCAGAACUCUAUUAAAACUGGUCCUUCUUGUCUCCUUCUCAAUUUUUUUUCUCUCACCCUAAAAAUGUCUGAAAUUCCCUCGUCUUCAAACCCCAUGAAUGAUCUGUCUUCAGAUCAUUCUCAAGAACCAUAAAAAGCAUCAUUUGUUAGUUCUUCUCAGGAGAUUCAUGAAACCCUAGUUUAAAUUUCUCCAAUUGAAACUUUAAAUCCCUGUGAAUACUCUAUCCAAAUAGAAGACACAAAUAAAUGUUCUAGCUCCCAAGUUAAACAAGAGAUUUUUCAAAUUAAAGGAUCUCUUUCCUCAGAAAAAUAAUAAUCCCCAGCGCCCCUCAAAUUUAGGUUCCCUCUGAUGAAUUAAAACUGUCAAAACUUCAAACAAGUUACAAGAACCUGUUUCUCCUACCCUUUCAGACUCAAAUUCGAUAUUUGCUAAUCUAGUUGAUGAUGAAAUUUUGGUGAAGAAAUCUAACUCUCUUAGUAGCAUGAAUUUUGUAGUUGAAAACUUGCUAUUACUUGGAAAUAAUCCCAAAGAAAAUUUUGCUAGUGUGGAAGAGAAAAUAAUAAGGGAAAAGGAUGAUUUGGAAGAUAAAAAAGGAAUAUAUACGACCUCUAAAUAAAGAAAAUAAAGAGGAGGAUGAAAAACAUUUGAUUCUUAAAAUGCAAAAGCUAAAGGAUAGAAAAAGAAAAGGAAAAAUGAUUGACACCAGUGUAGUAUAAGGAACAAGAUCCUAUUUCACUAAGGGAUCUGAACACAAAUUGCUAGAAGAUGCCAUGAAGAAAAGUAAGUCAUCUACUGCUAAAAGAGGAAAACUCAAAGAGGCUUCAUAGUAGUGGGGGAAAAUAUCAAAGUAGUGGAGAUUGGAGAAAACGAAAAUACUGAAACUGACAUUGGUAUUGCACAUAAGAUGAAAGAACCAAAUAUUUUUGGUGAUAAAAGGACUAGAUCCUCUUAUCCUAAGUCUAAGAUUCAUAGUGCAAUAAAAAAGAAACAUAUUUCUAUGAAAAGGAUGAACAUCUCCAAGGAACCUACUCCCAAGAAAAGAAAAAAAUAAUGAAAAAAAGAGCCAAAUGAUAAGUAUAAGAGAGUAAAUAAGGAUCAAAAUGCUGAAGACACAAAAAGUUCUAAUAGAGAGAAUGUUUGAUCCCAAAAUCUAUGAAAAACCUGAGAUGGUGGAAUUAGUAUAAUCUGUCAGGCAUCAAGAUUAGCUGUAUUUAUUCGAUAAAGCAACACCAAUGGUGUUUAAAAGUGAAGUAAGAGAAUUUUAUUAUUCAAUAGAUUUAUCAGAAGAUGGGUUGAGUCUAUUUACACUGGUGCAAGGAAAAUAAAUAUGGUUGGAUGAAGAAAUCUUGGGAGGAAUUCUUGAUGUGCCUACUAUAGGGGUAAAGACAGUUAUGAAGCAACAUCCCACAACUGAAUUCAUGAUUGAAGCUUCAAGAGUAGGGGGCCUCAAUUGCUGAAGUAAAGAAGAAGUUUCUAAAGAGUGAGUUUCUACUUGUUUUUGAGUUUAUUAAUAAGGUCAUGAUACUAAGAUCCGAGAAAAUAACAAUUAUUUCUGAUAUUUAUCUAUUUAUAUCAAAUGCUUGAGUAAGUUUGAGUUAAUAAGUCUGCCUACUCUAAUGAUAGAGCAUAUGCAUAUAGUGGUUGAAGAAAAGGAAGGAAGAUGUGGUAUGCCUUAUGGUUAAUUUUUGAACAAAGUUCUUAAUUAUUUUAGAGUGAUUAGGACUAAAGAAACACCAGAGAUAGUGAAAUAACUGAUCAAUUUAACCACACUGGUGGAAAAUAGGUGUAUUGAAGGGAAAGUGAGGAUUGUAUCCCGAGUGUUUAAACUAGUGGAUGCUUAAGAAAUCUUAUCCAAAGAGGUAGAAGAGUUGAGGAUUAUACUAGCAGCCAAAGACACUGAAACUUCAAAUUCAGAAGUUGUCCACAAAGGGACCAGGUGACACAGGAGAUCUUGCAGUAGAGAAUGCAAAACUCAAAGAAAAAAUUACAGAAUGACGGGUGAAAUAAAAAGACUAAAUAAUGAAGUAAAAGCUCUCAUCAAACAAUUGUUGGAUGCUUAUGCUGCUGCAGCUAAUAGAUUGGACAUGUUGCUAAAGUCAAUUUCUCUUAAGCCUCCUUUUACCUAUGUUCUAGUGUGUCAGUUUUUGUUUUUUGGUUCCAUGGUGGCCUUUAAAAGAAGUAGUUUUAUAAUUUAUUUUUGGUAUAUUGUGUUGAUACUUAUCCUAACUAGUUAUGAAUGAAUCUAUACUUGUGAUAUUAGAUUGCUUCUUUUACUUUAGGUGAUCCUUCAUGACAGUGUUUCCUCUGUGGCCAUUAGUUAAUUAUCUUGCACUUAUUUUACAUUAUAAUUUACUAUAUAUCUUUUUCAAUGAUUCCAACAGGUGGAAUACUACUAAAUUUAUAUGUAAGGACCUGACAGUACAAUGGUAGAAUAGUGAUGGGGGAAUAAAUACAAAUAUGCAAAUGCAUAAAUUGAUAUGGCAAAAUAAUACAAAGAUGCAAAUGCACAAAUUGAGGGUACAAAAUGACAGGUGGAAUUUUUUGCUACCAAAUGACAACAAGGGACCUAGUCCCUGUGUUGUAUUAUAGAAAAAGUAUGAUGAUAGGGUGAACAUUCAUACUCAAUUGGUAAUCACUCUAUUUAAAUGUGAUGAAUGUGCAUCAAAUUAUAUGAAAUAUCUAGGCUUUGCACCCUUAGAAAAAUUCCCUUAGGUGAAACUUUUGGACUAGGUGCGACUCAGGAUAUUGGUCGUACCCUAGUAUACUACUUAAUGACCCCCUCUCGUAUACUAGGUAGUGUGGUGAGUGUUACACACUAUUUAAGAUACAAUUUAACCUCUCCAUGGUCGUAUAUUAGUGUAUGAUCCAUACCAAGCUAAGUCGUAUGAUGUUUGGUACUUGGCCUAGUUGACACUAUUUUGGGUACGGUUUGUGGGUAUGAUUUAGGGUACCAUUUGUACCCUUGGGUAUGAUUCAUGAAUGUAUGGUCAUACCAUGGUCAGUAUAUAUGUCUUUGGUUAGGCCUAGGGUAUGAGUUAGCGUAUCACUCAUAACCUAAGGUAUGAUUGAGUAAGUGAAUUGUACCCACCUGGGUAGUCACUUUCCAACUUUUAAGUUAAGGGAUCUAUGGACAUUUAUCCACCCUUAAAACCCACAGUAUAUAACAUAUUUUGGCCCUUCAUUCCUUAUAAUUACAAGGUCAAAACACACAAAAAUCCUCUCAAAGACUUCUCCCACAAGAUUGAAGCUACAGUUCAAAGGGGUGUUCAUAUAGAACAAAAGAGGAGUCAAGUUUCUUUGGUAAAUCAUCUUGUUUAAGGCAUGUGACUCUUUCUCUUAUUAUUAACUAUAAAACAAUGUUUUUUAAAUAUGUAUUAAUAUUUGUAAAUGAUCAUUUUGAAAUCAAAUGAUAAGGAUUUUGUUGCCUAAUGAUGAGUAAUGUUUGCUUUUGUUUAGACUUAUCUUUUUAUAUGACAAUGGUGGUGAUUUGUACAUGUGGGAACUAGUUGUUUAUAGUUUAGCAAAUGGGUCUUGAUAAACCCUAAUGUUGAUGAUUUUUACUUUGAUAUUGGCUUUGUUAAGGGCAUACCCACAAGGUGUUUGUGAAAAUGUCUAGUCACAUUUUGAUAAUGUUUUAAACUAGGGAAAUGGCCCAAUAAGUGUCAAUGGUUGGUAAAUGUUAUUAAAAAUGAAUUAUUAGCCAUGUAAUUAUUUAAUGUAUGACCUUGUUGGUUUUACGGAUAAAAGGGGCUUAAAGUCCCUAAACAUGAAAUUAAAGUAUGUUGAACUAAAGUGUGGUAUAAUAUUUCUAAUAAAUAAUAAAUGGUUUUUAAGGAUCUUGAUGACCAGAAAUUGAAUUGAAUGAUGAAUUUAAUUAAGGCAUUGGAUUAUUAAAGUAUUUAUUUUAUGAGUGGUUUCAUGAAUACCUCGUGGUUGUAUAUGGUGAUAAAUAAGUUGAAUGGGCUAGAGUCCCUAAGUGUGAAAGUUAAAGAAUGUUACUAUGGACCAGGGGAUAGAGUCCCAAUGUCAACUACCGAUAGUUGCGAUGGCUUGUGUUUAAAGUCCCUUACAUAAUAAAGUGGCAUGUGGUUAGAGUCCUUUGAUUAAUGAAAUUGCUUGAGGUUAGAGUCCCUUGCCUAAAUAUGUCGACUUGUGGUUAGAGUCCCUUAUCUUAUAUGGCUUGUGGUUAGAGACCCUUGACGAACGAAAUAGCUUGUGGUUAAAGUCCCUUGCCUAAUGAAAAGGUAUCUGGUUAAAGUCCAUUUCUUAAUGAAAAUAUAUAUGGUUAAAGUCCCUAGCCUAAUGAGAAAUGUUUGAAUCUAUAAAUGUGGGAGGCCAAAGUCCUUUACUUCAUGACUCAUGAUUGAACGAAUCAAGAAUACUUGAUAAGUCAUGUUUUCUUUGGCACGUUAUGAAUAUGUUAUAUAUAUAUAUAUAUACAUAUAUAUAUAUACAUAUAUACAAUGCAUGCCCAUGAAUACGAAUGUGGUUAAAUAUGAUGAUUUGUCUUGAUUUUUAUAAACACUCAUUUUAUCCUUAUCCUUGAGUUACAUGCUAGCACUCCAACCACUAACCUUUUUCGGAUGCUAUGUCCCCACGCGACAUAGCGGUCAGAGCUUCUUCUUCUCUUCCUGGGUAGUGAUUAGGUGAUCGAAGUGGAUCAUGUGUUGACUUAAGUGGUGAGAUUCCCUACAUUGGAAGGUAUACGCUUUAUAGUCUCUUAUCUUUGGUCAUAGACUUAUUUAGAUUUUGUUUGGCUAUUGUCGGGGGCUUGCCUCGACAUAUUUAUACAUCGAAUUUGUGUAGAGGCAUUGUGGAUGACUAUGGACUUGGUAAUAUUUGUUAGAAUAUUGAUGUAAAUAAAAUGUGUAGACAUUUGUUAAGAUUAAUAGUAGACUUGUUUUCCGCUAUCUUGAUUCAUAGUUAGAAUUUAUCUGACACUAGUGCAUUGGAAUGAUGGUUAGGUUGACAGGGAAGUCUCCGGUCCAUGUUGGGCUUGAGAUGCCUAUACGACAAGGCCUGAUCAUGGGUCGUGUCAUUAUAUGGUUUGGUUUGUCAUCAUCAAAAAGGAGGAAAAUUGUUGUGUAGUUUUGAUGAUGAGCAACAAAACUGCAAGGGACUAGAUCCCUGGACGUGCAAAGUAUUGUACAGCUGGCACAUGGUAUCUACAUAGUUUUGUCCUUUUGUGUAACAAACUUGCAGGUGUUGUUUUGAACAGACAUGGAUAGUUAGUCCAAUGAUAUUCCAUCUGUAAUCAUCACCUAUCUAUAAAAGGAAAGAGACACCUCUUUAACAAUUGGUUUUUGUAGAUUCUAAAGAGUAAAAAGUAAGAAAACAAAAACCCAUUUCAUUACUCCUCAAGUUCUUAGCAGUUUAUGUGAGCUUAAAUUUAACUUGUUCUUGAUUGAGUAUUGAAUUGUGAUCGAACUACUCAUACUAUAAGAAUAGUGUUUUCUUUUAGAGAUAUUUUCUUAGGUAGAGUUACUUAAGCAUUAUUGCUAAUUAAAGUUAGUCAGCAGAGAGAGCCCUUGGUAGAGUUACCAGGAUAAGCUUAUAGUAAAGUUUCUAUAAGAGAAAGAUCCUAGAGGUAGGCUGAAAUCUAGAUUAUAAUCAGAAAUUUAAUUACAGUGGAUCUCUUUGAUACUUGUGUAAUUCCCCGAGAGUACACCCUAGAUUCCACACGGUGCUUACAGUCCCGAAAGACCACAAGCUAAUCCAUGACUAGUACCUGCUAUGAGCACUGAGUAUAACUGAUAUCAAAAGAUCAUAUGUGGAAUUUAACUAAAAUAUAACAUAAGGUUUUAAAAUAUAUUUCAGAUAAUGUCGGUCGAACAAUACUGAUAAUACUGACAAAACAACUAAAAACUGACAAACUAUCUGUACUAGUCUGAAACUAUCGGUCGAACAAUAUUGAUACUGAAGAACCAGAGUAUCAAACAUAAAUUGGUGGGGGAUCUCUAGGCGGAGUUCAGCCUAAUAUAACGGGUGACCCCUGGGAUAAAGUCAAGCCUAAACUGAUGGGUGACCCCUCAUCCUACUCUAGCUAUGUAGUUCUGGAAUACAGUAACUUCUAAUAACGACUCUGCCUAAAUAACGGGGAAACCACCAUCCCUACACUCACGGGGUGAUAAAUCCUACUCCUAGCUAAAAGAAAUUGAAUAUUGGACUGAAUAAAAUUUAACUGUUUAUGCUAACUGACUGAACUGAUAACGCUCAUAUCUAUUCUGAAACCAUUCUAUAGAUACUGAAAAACUAGGUAAGCAACUAAAUUUUGGAUAUUCAAAACUCCCAGAACUCUAUAGAAGUAACAAUAAGAUCAUGCUAAAACUUUGAGGACAUGAUAAGUAGUCAUUAUUCACAACUCAUUCUCUUAGACAUUUUAUCUAACACAUGAGGGUCAUGAUUUAAAGCAUGACAAUAGUUUAAAACAUAUGAUAAUCAGAUGGCUAUAAUACUAAACCACUAAUUAGGGAUUUAACAUGAAAAAUCAUCAAUCCAACAUGUAAAUUUUAAUUUCAACAACUCAUGCAAACAUCAUGUAUAAUCAAAAACUGUAAAGAUUCAUGGAGAUAGUUUAUUGUAAACAUGUAAACUAAUGAUUUAAACCCUAAAAAUGAAUUCUUGGACUCCAUAGGUGAAAAGGGUUCAUGCAUGACCAUCAAACAUACCUUAACUUCUUGAUCUUGAAAGAGAAUUAACUUUUCUUAAAUGUUCUUGGAUUGGGAAAGUUAAAUUCUUGAUUAUCUUGAAGAAAGUGUAAUAGAGUCUUGAUGUUCUUGGGAGAUUACCUUAAGAAGAAACCCUAAUUUUUUUUGUUGUUCUUGAGAGUAGAGGAGUUAAUGGCAUCUAAAACUGAUAAGUUAUGGCUAAUAACGCAUAAUGAUGCUUUAAGCCAUGUGUGAGGUACGGUUUGAGGUGAGGAAAACUCCAAAAUACCCAUCCGAAGUUGAAUAAAAAUUACUGAAAUUUUUAGAGGAUGACUUGAGUUGAUAACUUAUCAACUAGUUGAUGACUUAUCAAAUUAAGUCAUCAACUUAUUGUUGGAUUUGGGCCCUUUCUGGUCUGGGUGACGACUUGGGUUGAUAUGUCAUCACUUAGGUGACGGCUUAUCACCUCAAGUCGUCACUUUGGGGUAGAGAUUAUGACAUACUAAUUAUGGGUGACGACUUGGUUAGAUAAGUCAUCACUUAGUUGAUGGCUUAUCAACUCAAGUCGUCACUUGGAAGCUGAAUUUGAUGGUUUCUGGUUGGGCUAACGACUUGGGCUGAUAAGUCAUCACUUAGUUGACAACUUAUCAACUCGGGUCGUCACUUUGUUGACAGACAGACAUGCUGAAGUAAAAGGAGUAUAACUUUCUACUCUAAUGUCGGAUUAAGGUGAAACCAAAUGUGUUGGAAAGAAGAUUCAAAGAUAUUUAUUUGUGUAUAUAGUAGGAAACGUAACUUAUUAUGUAUAAGGUGUAAUGGUCAUUUAAAGUUGAUCCAAGCUGAAAUGUCCCCUAAAACUUAACCAAUAGAAGUGUUCUUAAGUCGUCUUUGAGUUUGAAUAUUUCUAUGACCUCGACUAAUAUAAAAGGAAUUUUUCACACUAUCUAAUUUAUCAUCAUACAUAUAUAUACAUAGAAUAAUUGGGUUCAAUUCUUUAUACUUAGGAACAACAGUUUGAAUUCUAGCCCAAAAAUGUGGGGUGUUACUUUAGCUCCCCUUUGGGAACAUUUAUCCUCAAAUGAGAAUGGUUAGACCGAGAGUACUCUACUAAGGUAACUAAGAGCAUAUACUAAACCUGUAUGAUCAGGAAUAUGAUUACAUGACUGAGUCUAAAAUAUGAUAUAUGACUGAAUUGAUUUCAUGAAUACAUGCAAUGACAUAAAAAUGGUUACAAGGCUGAGAUUGAAACGAGAGAGUCAACUUAUGAGUAACCAUUACCUCCAGCUGGAUCUUGUUUCAUGAAGAAAAGAUAAUGAUUUAGGAGAUGAAAACUUUGGGUAUUACAACAUCUCCCCUUUUGGAUACUUUUUUCCCCAAAUGAUACUGACUUGGCUGAAUUAUUAAGGAAAGAUUGAGAUGAUACAUAGGAUAUUUAUGAACUGAAUCAUGACUGCAUAUCUAGAAUCUGAAAUUGAUGCAUGAUGCAUGCACUGAAAUGGAUUCAGAAUUCAUAUGGAUGUAAACAAACUAUAUCUUGGAAGGGCCAUAUUCAUUAAACUACAGAUAGUAAGACCAGAUCGAAAGACGGAAAAACCAUAGGGACUUGUAUAUCUGAUUGCUAAUAUGAAUUGUUGGCUAUACAGACUAACUCAUACUGAAAGCUUAUGCCCAAUUGGAGCAUUUUUUCAAUGCAUUUCCUUAGAAGUUCUAAUAGCAUUAAAGAGAAUGUAAUCUUGGGCAUGAUCUGAAUAAGACAUCUAUAUAAGGAAUACCAAUAUGGCUAUAAUUCUAUAACAUGAAACAUAGGCCUACGAAACCUCUUCUAGGAUAGAAUUGCUAUGCCUUAGACAAUGCAACUGCUACUUUCAACCUUAGAUAUAUUCCUAAAAUACUCCUUUGACUAUACCUUCCACCUUGAUGCUUCACUUCACCUAAGACUACUGAAAAUAUUAACAUGGGCACUGAUAACUCUACUUACUGAAGUCUGAGCUAGACUGAAUUCUCCCACUAUGGUCAAGCCUACUCAAAUCUACAAAAUGUACACAUAACACUGUAAUACAAGUCUUAGUCAUGAAUUCAAUACUCUAUGCAUUCAUACCUUCCCAUCUCUUGAAUAAUUCUAAUUUCCCCUUCAACAACUAAGUACAACCUCUUACUAGCCAUUCACUAACACAUAAUGCAUUUGUCCACUUACACACCAAUAUGACAUUCAAGCCAAUCUUCAUAACUACUGCAUCAUGUAAAACAAGAAUGCAGUAAUCUUUCCUUCACAUGAAAUAUUUACUCUCUCCCACUUAAGUAAUUUCUCAUCACUACAUAAUUUCAUUAGGAGAAGUCAUUGAAAGGUUGAAAUAUGAGGACCUAAAGCAUGCAUGAACACUAUACAAAACUUGACACUUAAAAGAUACCCGAGGAAUAGAAUAUCAAUAUCAUGGAUUCAUCCAGGGACCUAAAAUAAGGAUAUACAUGACAUAAUCUGAAGUUUACUGAUCAUUAGGAAGGUAGCAUGAAUCUUUGGAACUGAGCAUACUAUAAAACAUGGAUACAUGAGUCAUGAGCUCCAUGACCUGAGUUCGGAGUUUUUGAAUUCAUAGAACAUGAUUCAUACUACUGAGUGAACUGAAACUCUUCAUACUAGAUAUUGGAAGUAUACAUAAUUUUAUGGCAAAUGUAUGAAUAUGAGCUAUGAUCAUGGAGAUGAAAUAUAAGGCAUGAGUAGAUAUCAUGAUGACUGAAAAACCCUGUACUGGGAUAAGAAUGGGUUAGGCAUCCUCCUCCCUUACGGCUAUUCUACAACAUACUGGCAUCACUAUUGGGAUCUGAGAGCCUGACUUGGUUACUUGUUCUAUUAUCUCACCCUUAGCUUCAAUCCAUCAUUCUAAGUCUAUGAACCACUUAAUAAACUCUAAGCUAAACUAAAACCACUUUCUCCAGAGUCUGAGAUAUAACAAUACUCGUACAUACUCAACUCACCCUGAAAAGUUGCAUUUGAAAAUGUAAAACUCUAACGACCCAAAAUGCCUCUCGGGACGUCACACAGUGCUUAAGGCUACAAGAAGCCUCAAGCUAACCCUUAUAGCUAGUUUCUACGAACUACACUCAAUACAAUAUAAAAUAGACUUAAACACUCGCAUAAUCAUAUCAUGUAAAAGGAAAUAUGGAAAGAUACUCGGUCCAUAUAACCACAAUACAGAGAAACCUCAACAAAACCAUAAUACCAAACUCUCAAUACAUCACAAGUAUGAUACUAGUAUGACAAAACCUCUAUGAAUCAAAAACUAGAGAGCCAUUGGGAUAGGUCCCCAACUGAAUCGAAAUGAACUGAAGAUAAAACAUAGUCUCUCAAAUACAAAAAUUAUUUAAAGAUCGAUCCUCGAACCAUGAGGAAUCACCACUAUAGAAAACGUAGGCAAGGUACUCGAAGAAUCAUGGAUGAGGCUGGGAGUGAACACCUAAACGUACAUUAUAAGACAAUGUAGCACAUAGACAUAUAUAUAAAUCAGUACUUUGGAAUGUACUGAGUAUGCGGGGGUGAAUGCAUAUGUAUAAAAAUAGUACCGAUCUUCUUCAAUCAAAUCAUGUAUGCAAAAUGAGACGACUCACAUGGAUUUAACAAGUAUAAAAUAUAAAGCUCAUAAGUCAUGUAGGAUGGAGCAUGUAACACAAAUCUCAUGAGUCAUCAUUGUUUAAUCUUUAAAAUCAGGAAUCUUCUCUUAUUCUCUAUGCCUAUCUGGUAAGGAACUUUAAACAAUAACUUCAACUCAUGCAUAUGUCUCAUAGAGAGUAAAAACUUCUCUCUCAUAGAGAGUAAAACCUUCUAAAUGCUCAAUAUUACAUAACCAUUUAAAACUCGUAUACUUGGAAAUCGGAAUCAUAUGACUCGGAAAACAUACUUGAAGGUAUUUCAUUCACUUUAGGAAAUUAUCUCAUUUCAAGCUUUAGGUAAAAUCAUGCUAUCUCAAAUGGAAAAGUAUUCUAGCUUAAGGAAAUAACUUAUCUCAAAGUUUUAUGAAAAGUGCCAUAACAAGGGAAGAUGAUUUCAUUUAGGAAAAUAACUCUCAUCAAGAAAAUACCUUAGUUUGGGAAUAUCUUUGCAUUUCAACUAUUUAGGAAAGUAGACUAUAAGAAAGGAAAAUAAGUAUUUGAUCUCGAAGUUUUAAAGGGCAAAGAAGGUUCUCAUAACUGACAUAAACCAUGCGAGCUACAUGGAGUCCAAUGUUUUGUCCCCCUAAGGAAGAGACCUCAUGUUGGGGAGGAGCGUCAUGCUCUUGUCAGAGAGUAUAACCUAGGUCUAGUGAUCACUAAACGAAACUCGGACUCGGGCACAAUCAUAUUCAUUAUAAACUUGGCCUCAGGCCCAACCUACGGUGGCACGUAGUUUUGGGGUAAGAAACCGUAGUGACUUACCCGCUCGGUGCAAAGUAGUACUCCCUUUAGAUUAUCUACACUCAUCACAUAAAAAUCCACUUUUAGAAUAAUAUUGUGGUUCACCACGAACCCAAUAAUCAUAUCGAUAAUCUCAUAUGAUGAAAUGGAUUUUAAAGCUUUCGGACCACUCAAUUCAUUUUUGAAUCAUCUCAAAAUAUUCAAAUCAUGGGUGCUUAUAGCACAAGAGUUCAUAAUUUCACAAGUCUCAAAUAGGUCUUACUAACCCAGAGUUCAAUCUCAAGUUAAAGCUCAUCAAAAGCAUAAUAUGUAAAAUAUAGAUUCAUAAAUCAUGUGGAAAUCUGGGAAUUUCAGCAAUUUAUCUCAAAAUCUCAAUAUAGUCAUAUGCUUCAAUAUCUCAACAUUGCAAAUAUUAGAUUCUCAAGAAGUAAAAUCAUGGGGUUUAUACCCAGCUAUAAAUUCUUAAUAAAACAUGCAGAAAUCAUGUCAUUUAACUCUUAAUUCAUGGGAAAUAUCAAGAUAAUGCAUUGAAUAAUAAUAAUAGGUGAAAAACCCCAAUUCAAAUUCAUGUAAAAACCUCAUAGAUUUUAGGAAAUUCAUGAUGUAAAUAAGCCUUUUGGGAAUAAGGGUGGAAGGGUGAUCCUUGUUCAAAACCCCACAUUCCUUGAAUUAGAAGCUUUGGAUGAACUCUCACUUUUGGAACUCUAUUCGUACUCUUGAAUGACAGUUCUUGAGGCACUUGACUUGGGAACCUUGAAUCUUGACUCCAUUUAGAAAAUCCAUGGUGGAUUCUUGAAAUUCUUGGAAGAGGUUUUGGAUACUUAGGGUUUUUAUGAGAGAAAACUUUAGAAAAACCUCAUAGGAUGCUUGCAAAUGACUUUGAUUUGGUGUUUGCACGGUUUUAUAGGCAUGAAAAAGGUCCAAAAUACCCCUUUUAACAGCUAUACAAAGCUGGAAAAGUUGAAAUGGGAACCCGAUUUAAGGGGUCACCAUGAUGCGCCACUUAUCACGGUGGCUCAUUGGAAUUGACAAUUGGCAAUACGGGAGUCACCGCAAUACGGAGCCAUCGCAUUUUCCCACUGGUUGGGACCUAGAACCUCAGCGCAAUACUCCAAUAUCAUGGAGUUCCACUAGAAUUUGAAAAAUGUCAAAUUGACCCUCUCCGCAACGCGCCAAGCACUGAAAUGACGUAGUUUUACGACUAGGUCUUAAAUUAGCCAUAACUUCUUACCUUGGUAUCAGAUUUGAGCAAAUCUUAUAUCGAUGGAAAUCUUAUCAGAUUUCCCACAUGAUAGAAAGCCAAAAUUAGGGAAAUUCUCUAUGGUUAACACAAUACUGACUUUGGAAUCCACUUCUCAUUCUUUUAGGGCCGAAAUCAUGCCUCACUUUACACACCCUACGGCUCAAACUGCGAGAAAACUUUGUGGGGCCUUCCAAUAUCUUUUCCUUUGGAAUAUUCGUCCUUGAAUGUCACUAAUUAGGCUAGGAAUACAUGAAAAAUAGAAUACACAUAGCUGAAACAAUUACUAAAUGGUUCAAGAUCUUUCUAAACUCAUGAAUACUCCGGAAAAUGUAAGAACUCAUACAAGGAUAGAUACAUAUCUGAACUUUAGAUUAGAAGAGCUGAAUCAAGGAAGAAUAGUACCUUCAGCUUGGUUUGAACCCAUGGAAAAGAGCUGUUGGUACUUGGCUCGCAUGUCUGCUUCUACCUCCUUAGUAGGACUCUCAACAGACUAGUUCCACCAUAAAACUUUGACCAAGGAGACUUCUUUGUUCCUUACUCUAUGGAUUUGAAAAUCUAGGAUCUCCACGGGAAUCUCAUCGAACGAAAGCCUAUCCUAAAUAUCAACACUUUUUGAAGGAUCAACCACAACAGAAUCACCUAUAUGCCUCUUAAGCAUGGAGACAUGAAAGAGAGGAUGAACAACGGAUAACUCCAAGGGAAACUAAACCUCGUAGGCCACUUCACCAACACGGCUCAAGACUCGGUACGGGCCAACAUAACGGGGGCUAACCUUUUCCUUCUUACCAAACCUCUUCACCCCUUUUAUGGGUAAAAUCUUUAAGUAUACCAAAUCACCCACCCCAAACUGAAGAUCUCUCCUCCUCACAUCUACAUAAGAUUUUUGAUGACUCUGAUCUGUAACGCCCCAAAAAAUGAGUCCCAGAGUGUCACACAGUGCUUGAGGCUACGAGUAGCCCCAAGCUAACCCUUUGAGACAUUUUCAUUCAGUUCAACACAAAUCUAUAGGGUUUUCAUAAAUAACCCUUAAAUAUCAACAAAGUAAUCAUCAUCGAAGAAUAAAAGAAUUUCAGAAAGAUAACAAAAUAUGACUUAUUAGUCAACUUCCAACAUCUAUACUAGUCUGAUAAGCCUCUACAAAAAUCAAUAAAACCAGCAAGCCAUUGAGACAUGCCCCAACAGACUCAUACUUAGUUAUCAAAUGUAAACAAUUUCGUAAAACCAAUAUCAGACAUCACGUCCUCAGAACAUGAGGACUCACCACAAUAGAGGAUAUAUAACAUCAUGCCUGAAGAAUCACAGUCAAACCUGGAACUGAGCACUUGAACCUACAUUUUGAGAAAAUUCAGCCCACAUCCGAAGAUGUGGGUCAGCACCAUGGAAGAAAACACACAGAGACUGGGAGAUCCUAUAACCAAAAUAAACCAUGUGAGCUACAUGGAGUCCAACGUACAACCCACGUUGGGGAGAGCCGUCCUAUCCUUGCCAUUAGAGUAGGACUAUCGAUAUCAAAUCCACAUAAACUAGUGAUCACUAUAUAAAUUAGCCUCAGUCUCACUCCUACAGGGGCACGUAGUUCUAGAGAAGUAAGGUCACUUUAUACCUCCCACUCGGUGCUAAAGAUUUCUCCCGAUCUUAGCUUAGAUCAUUUCAAAGACAAUCCACAAUAAAACAAUUUUAGUAAUAUGUAAAUAUACAUCGAGAGCCAUCAUGCUUCCCAUCUAUCAAAAUCAACCACGUUGUGGAUUUCUUUCACACUCGAGUUCAAAACAACUCUACUAAGACCAAAAGGUCAAAUCAUUCAAAAUAUAUCAAAUAUUCAACAUCAACGUGCUUAUAACACACUCUCUAAAAAAUAGAAUUUCCAAUAGGGAUUCAUGACCCCAAUAUGAAAAUCAUGAUAAAUAUCGUUCAAGAUUCAUGCUUUAUAUCUCCACACAUGUAAAUUCAUUUUUCAAAAUCAUAAACAUCAAGAUUUCAUAAUAAUCAUCAUAAGAUAUGGUUUCAUGCUUCAAAUUCGUAAAAAUCAAAUAAAAAUCAUGCCUUUGUAAAGAAAAUUACUUUUGGGCACAAGAAUGAAAAAGAGUUCUUGUUGAAAAACACCACAUACCUUGAAUGAUGAACUUUAGAUCGAUACUCAUUUUUGAGAUGUUAAUCGUUCCUUUGAAUGAUGGUUCGUGGAGUUCUUGAACUAGGAACUUGGAAUCUUGAAUAAAUUUGCAGAAUUAAUGGUGAACUUUGGAGGUUCUUGAAGUUGGGUAUAGGAGCUUAGGGUUUUCUUUUUGAGGGAAUUUGAUGAAAUAUUACAUAUAAUGCUUCUAAUAGGCUUUGAUAUAGGGUUUGGAUAGAUUUUAGGUGAGGGGGAAUGACCAAAACGCCCCUAAAAAUCAAAUAAUUCUCGAAUCUAUCCUUUGGUGGACUGUUUUGAUAGUCUGAAGUAGAUCAACCAUAACGUCUUACUCCGAUAUCCAAAUUGGAUGAAACAAAUUUCAUUAGAAAUAAAACUCUCAUAUAUUUCCGUUGAUAUAUAUAGUAUCUCACGCAGAUCAUUGUUUACAAAGAGUUAUGAUCAUUUGAAGUUGACCUGAAAAUUCACUUUUGUUAGGCUGAAGUAGAUCGGCCAUAACUUUUUGCUCUGAUAGAAAAAUUUGAUGAAACUAAUUUCAUUGGAAAGAGGACUCACAGAGCUUUCCGUUGAUAUACAGUAGAUCACCCAGAUCAUUAUGUACAAGGAGUUAUGAUCUUUUAAAGUUGGAGCACAAAUACGUCAGGCCUCAGUACUUUUUCCUCCACAUUUUACUAUUCACGAUUCGAUCGGAAUUUUCAUAACUCGUCGCUCGGGUGUCCGUUUUGGAUGAUCCACAUAUCGUUGGAAAUAUUAUUUGAUACUCUAUGUAAUGUUGGAUCAUAAUCCAAGACAUUCCGCAUGAAAAAUUUAUAAUUCAUUCUAGAAGAUAGAACUCAACACGUUUAUGUACAAAAUUUCAAUGAAAAAUUUCCCGGGGUAUUACAUCAUCCCCCCCUUGAAAAUAUUCAUCCUCGAAUGAUGCUAGACAUGCCAAGAUUAGAUAGGGAAUAGAGCAUACAGCUGAAACCAUUCGUUAGACUCAUCACCAUAUCGUUUCUCACUCCGAAUCCAACAUAGAAUGCAUAAAUUCAAGAAACUACAACUGAACACAUAAUAAAUGAUAGCUGAACUAUUGUAACUUUUAUCAAAAGUGCAUGAUUUAGGAAAGAACGAUACGUUCGGCUUGAUCGGAGUUCACAGAAAAUAGGUGCGGGUACUUGGAUCGGAUAUCCGCCUCAGCUUCCCAAGUUGCACCCUCAACAGAUUGGUUUCACCACAACACCUUGACCAAGGGAACUUCUUUGUUCCUUAGUCUUCGGUCACUGAAAUCAAGAAUCUCAACAGGAAUCUCAUCAAAAGAAAGAUUUUAGCUCCCUUACCAACACGGCUAAGAAUUUUGUAUGGACCAACAUAACGGGGACUAAUCUUCCCCUUCUUUCCAAAUCUCUUCAUCCCCCUCAUGGGUGAAAUUUUCAGAUACACUAGGUCACCAACUUCAAACUCAAGGUCUCUUCUUCUAACAUCCGCAUAUGACUUCUGACGACUCGGCGCAAUUUUCAACCUUUUCCUAAUCAACUUAACUUUUUCCAUAGCCUCAAAUACCGAAUCAGGACCAGUCACAGCCGCUUCAUCCACAUCGAAUCAACCUAUGGGUGAUCUACAUUUCCUCCCAUAUAAGGCUUCAAUGGAGCCAUGCCAAUACUAGAGUGGAAACUGUUAUUGUAAGCAAACUCUAUCAACGGUAAGUGAUCAUCCCAACUUCCCUUAAAGUCAAGUGCACAAGCUCUCAACAUAACCUCUACGUUCUGGAUAGUCCGCUCAGCCUGACCAUCGAUCUGCAGAUGAAAAGCAGAACUCAAAAUCACAUGGGUACCAAGAACCUUCUGAAAAGCUUUCCAAAAUUACGAAGUGAACUGAGUACCCCUAUCCAAAAUGAUAAACAAGGGAACUCCAUGCAGUGUGACUAGCUCUUGAAUAUACAAUCUAGCGUAAUCCUCAGUAGUAUAUGAAGUAUGAACAAGCAAGAAAUGAGAAGACUUAGUCAACCUAUCAUCCACAACCCAAUGAAUCAUGAUGACAUCGGAAAGGAGGUAAACCAAUCACGAAGUCCAUAUUUAUCUCUUCCCACUUCUAGGUGGGAAUACUAAACUCUUGCAUCAUACCACCAGGUCCUUGGUGUUCAACCUUAACCUGUUAGCAUGUUGUACACGUAGCUACAAACGCUGCUAUAUCUUUGUUCAUGACACUCCACCAAUAGAUUUCCCGCAAGUCUUGGUACAUCUUGGUGGCACCAAGAUUAAUAGAAUAUCGCGCCCCGUGCACUUCAUCCAUAAUCCUCUGUCUCAGAUCAUCAACAUUCGGGACACACAAUCUACCCUGCAAUCUCAACNNNNNNNNNNNNNNNNNNNNNNNNNNNNNNNNNNNNNNNNNNNNNNNNNNNNNNNNNNNNNNNNNNNNNNNNNNNNNNNNNNNNNNNNNNNNNNNNNNNNNNNNNNNNNNNNNNNNNNNNNNNNNNNNNNNNNNNNNNNNNNNNNNNNNNNNNNNNNNNNNNNNNNNNNNNNNNNNNNAACAUGGACACCAUACAAAUAGUGUCUCCAGAUUUUCAAAGCAAACACAACAAUAGCCAACUCAAGCUCAUGGGUAGGGUAAUUUUUCUCAUGGGGUUUCAACUGUCUAGAAGCAUAAGUUAUCACCUUACCCUUCUGCAUCAAUAUGCAACCCAAACCAACCCUCGAAGCAUCACAGUACACCACAAAACCAUCAACACCAUCAGGCAAAGUCAAAACAGGGGUUGAAGUGAAUCGAGUCUUCAACUCCUGAAAAAUCUUCUCACAAGAUUCGGACCACAAGAACUUCACUUUUUUUUUGGUUCAACCGAGUCAUAAGUGACACUAUAGAGGAGAAACCCUUAACAAAACGGCAGUAAUAGCCAGGUAAACCCAAGAAACUUUGGAUAUCAGUCAGAGAAAUAGGUCUAGGCCAAUUUCUAACAGCUUUGGUCUUUUAGGGAUCAACUCUAAUACCCUCGGAAGAAAUGAUAUGACCCAGAAAAGCAACUGACCUUAGCCAAAACCCACACUUACUGAACUUGGCAAACAAAUUAUGAUCUCUAAGGGUUUGCAAGACAGUUCGGAGAUGAUCAGAAUGUUCAUCCUCACUACGGGAGUACACCAGUAUAUCAUCGAUGAACACUAUGACAAACAUAUCUAGAUAUGGUCUGAACACUCAAUUCAAGUUGUUCAUGAAAGCUGUUGGGGCAUUGUUAACCCAAAAGACAUAACAAAAAACUCAAAAUGUCCAUAACGAGUUCGAAAAAUGGUUUUCGGGAUGUCACACUCCCUAACUUUGAGUUGAUGAUAGCCAAAACAAAGGUCUAUCUUUGAGAAAUAACUUACACCUUACAAUUGGUCAAAUAAAUAAUCUAUUCUCGGAAUGGGGUACUUAUUUUUUAUGGUGACUUUAUUCAGUUGGCGGUAAUUAAUGCACAUACGCAAAGAGCCAUCUUUCUUUCUUACAAAUAACAUAGGAGCACCCCAAAGAGAAACACUGGGCCUUAUAAAACCCUUAUCUAGUAGAUCUUUGAGUUGCUCUUUCAACUCAUUAAGUUCUGCAGGGGCCAUAUGGUAAGGAGGAAUAGAAAUAGGCUGAGUAUCGAGAAAAAAAUCAAUCCCAAACUCUAUUUCUCUAUCAGGAGGUAUACCUAGGAGAUCAUCCAGAAAGACAUCAGAAAACUCAUUGACGACGUUAACAGACUGGAGAAUUGGAGUCUCAAACUUUGUGUCUUUGACUAUAACCAAAUGGUAAAUACACCCCUUGGAAAUAAGCUUUCUAGCUUUGAUGUAAGAGAUAAAAUGACUCUUGGGUGACACAGAAUUCCCAGACAACUCAAACACGGAUGCACCCAAAAACUGAAACUUGACCACUCUAGUCCGAUAAUCAAUAAAGGCAUAAGAAGAAUACAGCCAAUCCAUACCCAAAAUCACAUCCAAAUCUACCAUGUCUAACUCAAUCAAAUCAGCCAACAAGACUCUAUGAAGAACGAUAACAGGACACUUUUUAUACACUUUCUGGGCAACAAUCGAAUCACCCACUGAGGUAGAAACUAGGAUAGGUUCAGGAAUAGUCUCAGGACUCAUUUCAAAAUUCACAGCAAUUAAAGGUGUAACAUAUGAGAAACUGGAUCCAGGAUCCAACAAAGCAUACAUAUCAAACUAAAAUAUACGAAGCAUAGCAAUAAAAACAUCGAGAGAGUCCUUCUAUUCCUGGUGGGACGAUAAAGCAUUCUAGCACUGCCCGCCAGCAUUCUUAGAAGAGGCGCCCUGAGCUGGGGCUAGGAGAGUCACUGGAACUGAAGCACUAACAGUCUGAAUCUAGGUCUGAGAGCAAUAGUCACGAUGCCCUUGUCCAUCCUGUGAACAAUCUCUAACACUGUGACCCAUGUUACCACAUCGGAAAUAACCUCUCUUCUCACCCCAACACUCACCCGAAUGAGCCUUACCACACUUAGGACACAGGGGAUGAUUUGUCUUACUGCUAGCACUGUACUGGGACCUGGAUGCAUAUGACCUGCUACCUUGAUCCUGCCUACCUAUAGGCACGGGAGCACUAGCAGAAAAUGGUGCUAGCAUAGGCCAACGAUCAUGAUACUGAGGGUGACUCCCUUCCUGCGAUCUAGUCUGACCCUGUCCGUGCUGCUCGGACCUAGCUCUCUUAUUCCCUCAUAUUCUAUCUCUCUCCUUAAUCUUGUCUGCCUCAAUCUGUUGGGCAUGAGUCAUCAGCCUAUUAAGAUUCAUCUCACUAUUCAGCAUAGCAGACCUACACUCCUUAACCAUAUAACUAAACACUCCAGUCACAAACUUACUCAUACUAGCCCGAUUAUCAGCCACUAAGUGAGGGGCAUACUUGGCCAAUUGAUUAAACUUUAGAUAGUACUCCCUAAUAGUCAUAUAGCCCUGCCGCAAGUUCAUAAACUCUUCCACCUUCGCCUCUCUUAUCUCCAAAGGGAAAAACUUAUCCAAGAAUGCAUCCUGGAACACUUGCCAAGUUGUAGGGACAACUCCCUCUCCUCUAUCUUUUCUUCAAGCAACAACCCAGUCAUAAGCAAGGUCUUUCAAACUAUACGCAGCCAACUCCACACUAUGUUUCUCAGAUACAGGCAUCACCUGAGUAAUCUUCUGUACCUUCUCUAAAAACAAAUAUGGAUCCUCAUCAGACUUGGACCUAUAGAAUUCCAGAGAAUUCAUCCACAUGAAGUCAUGGAUCCUAGCAGUAGCUGAAUUAUCUCCCUACUACUGUGGAGCCGGGGCUGGGUUGGCUUGAAUAUUUGCAGUAACAACUUGGGCCAGUGCCUAAAAGGCUGCCCGAAAUUCAGCAUGAGACACAUUUUCAUUCAAUGGGUCAGCGAGUUGAGGUUGCUGACCAUCAUUAUUUCUUCUCGCUCGACGUGGAGGCAUAUUUUUGAAAGAGGAAAGCAUGAAUCAAUAGCAAAGAGAGACACUUUAAGAACGAUAUACUUCUGAAAGAAAGAAUCACACUUUUUCCUAAAACGUCUUGUAGCCUCUUGUUCAUAGAUGUGGCGCACUACACAUCGAUGAUCAAGACUCUACUUAACGCGGCUUGUCAGACUUCCUAGGAUACCUUAAAACCUUAGGCUCUAAUACCAUGUUUGUAACGACCCAGAAAAUGGGCGUCGGAAUGUCACAUAGUGCUUGAGGCUACGAGUAUCCCCAAGCUAACCCUUUGAGCCAUUUUCAUUCUGUUCAACACAAAUCAAUGGGGUUUCCAUAAAUAAGCCUCAAAUAUCAAUAGAGUAAUCAUCAUCCAAGAAUAAAAUAAUUUCAGAAAGAUAAUAAAAUACGACUUAUUAGCCAACUCCCAACAUCUAUACUAGUCUGACAAGCCUCUAAGAAAAUCAAUAAAACCAGCGAGCCAUUGAGACAUGCCCCAACUAACUCAUACUCAGUUAUUAAAUAUAAAAAAUUCCGUGAAACCAACAUCAGACAUCACAUCCUCGGAAUAUGAGGACUCACCACAAUAGAGGAUGUAGAACAGCAUGCCCGAAGAAUCACUGUCGAACCUGGAAUAGAGCACCUGAACCUACAUUCCAAGAAAAUGCAGCCCACAUCUGAAGAUGUGGGUAAGUACCAUGGAAAGGAACCGAGUAUAUGGGGGUGUAUGCAGUUUUAUAAACAUUAUCAUCAUAAAUAUUUAUAAGAAAUAUGCAGGAUGUAUGAAAAACUCACAUAGCCUUAAGAAAAUCAUCAUAGUCAUGAGAGGAUAAAAUAAGUACAAUAACAUAUGUGAGUCAUCAUAUAAUUUGUCAAUCACUUUCAGUUCAUCAAGAAUAUCAAUUCUCAUAAUGUAAAUAUCAUUUAAAUCUUUUGAAAGAAUAACUUUCACAAUUCGGGUAAGUACCAUGGAAAGGAACCGAGUAUAUGGGGGUGUAUGCAGUUUUAUAAACAUUAUCAUCAUAAAUAUUUAUAAGAAAUAUGCAGGAUGUAUGAAAAACUCACAUAGCCUUAAGAAAAUCAUCAUAGUCAUGAGAGGAUAAAAUAAGUACAAUAACAUAUGUGAGUCAUCAUAUAAUUUGUCAAUCACUUUCAGUUCAUCAAGAAUAUCAAUUCUCACAAUGUAAAUAUCAUUUCAAUAUUUCAAAAGAAUAACUUUCACAAUUCCAAUUUCAAACCACUUCACCAUUCACCAUAGACACAAGGAAACACACACACACUAGGAGAUCCUAUAAACAACAUAAAAUAUGUGUGCUACAUGGAGUCCAAAGUACAACCCAUGUUGGGGAGAGCCGUCCUAUCCUUGCCAUCGGAGUGGGACUAUCGAUAUCAAAUCCACAUAAACUAGUGAUCAGUAUAUAAAUCAACCUCAAGCUCACUCCUAUGGGGGCAUGUAUUUCUAGGGAAGUAAGGUCGCUUUAUACCUCCCACUCGGUGCUAAAGAUUUCUCCUGGACUUAGCUCAGAUCAUUUCAAAGACAAUCCACAACAAAAUAAUUUCAGUAAUAUAUAAAUAUACAUCUGGAGCCAUCAUGCUUCCCAAACCACACAUGUAAAUUCAUCUUUCAAAAUCAUAAACAUCAAUAUUUCAUAAUAAUUAUCAUAAGAUAUGGUUUCAUGCUUCAAAUUCGUAAAAAUCAAAUAAAAAUCAUGCCUUUGUAUAGAAAAUUACUUUUGGGCACAAGAACAAAAGAGAUUUCUUGUUGAAAAAACCCACAUACCUUGAAUGAUGAACUUUAGAUCGAUACUCGUUUUUGAGAAGUUAAUCGUGCCUUUGAAUGAUUGUUCUAGGAGUUUUUGAACUAGGAACUUGGAAUCUUGAAUAAAUUUGCAGAAUUAAUGGGGAACUUUGGAGGUUCUUGAAGUUGGAUGUAGGAGCUUAGGGUUUUCUUUUUGAGGGAAUUUGAUGAAAUAUAACAUAUAAUGCUUCUAAUAGGCUUUGAUAUAGGGUUUGGAUAGAUUUCGGGUGAGGGGGGAUGAUCAAAACGCCAAUAAAAAUCAUAUAAUUCUCGAAUCUAUCCUUUGGUGGACUGUUUUGAUAGUCUGAAGUAGAUCAACCAUAACGUUUUACUCCAACAUCCAAAUUGGAUGAAACCAAUUUCAUUAGAAAGAGGACUCUCAUAUAUUUUCAUUGAUAUAUAGUAUCUCACCCAGAUCAUUGUGUACGAGGAAUUAUGAUCGUUUGAAGUUGACCCAAAAAUUUAUUUUUGAUAGCCUAAAGUAGAUCGACCAUAACUUUUUGCUCCGAUAGACAAAUUGGAUGAAACCAAUUUCAUUGGAAAGAGGACUCGCAGAUCUUUCCAUUGAUAUAUAGUAGAUCACCCAGAUCAUUAUCUACAAGGAGUUAUGAUCAUUUAAAAUUGGAGGAAAAAUACGCUAGGCCUCAGUACUUUUUCCUACACGUUUUACCAUUCACUACUAUUCACGGUUCGAUCGGAAUGUUCAUAAUUCAUCGCUCGGUUGUACGUUUUGGAUGAUCCACAUAUAUUUGGAAAGAUUAUUCAAUACUCUACACAAUGGUAUUUCAUAAUCUAAGACAUUACGCAUGGAAAAUUUAUAAUUCAUUCUAGAAGAUAGAACCCAACAAGUUUACGCACAAAAUUUCAAUGAAAAAUUUCCCGGGGUAUUACAUGAGCAGUCUUCAACCUUUCUCUAAUAAACUUAACUUUUUCCAUAGCUUCAAACACUGCAUCAAGCCCACACGUGGCAGCUUUACCUAUUUCAAACCAACCUAUGGGUGGUCUAUAUCUCUUACCAUACAAAGCCACAAAUGGUGCCAUCUCAAGGCUAGCAUGGAAACUAUUGUUAUAGGCAAACUCUAUCAUUGGCAAAUGCUCAUCCAAACUACCUUUGAAAUCAAGAGCACACGUCAUUAAUAUAUCCUCUAGGAUAUGAAUGGUCCUCUCAGCCUGACCAUCUGUCUGCGGAUGAAAUGCGGAACUCAAAAGAACUUGGGUGCCAGGACCCUACUGAAAUAUCCUCCAAAACGGAGAAGUAAAUUGAGUACCCAUAUCUGAAAUUAUAGAUCAAGGAGCUCCAUGCAGCCUGACCAACUCUCGGAUAUAUAAUUUAGCAUAAUCCUCAGCUGUAUAAGAUGUAUAAACUGGCAGGAAAUAUACAGAGUUAGUCAACCUAUCCACAACAACCCAAAUGGAAUCAUGAUGACAGUACAAAAGAGGCAACCCGAUCACGAAGUCCAUAUUCACCAUCUCCCACUUCCAAGUGGGUAUACUAAACUCUUGCAUCACACCACCUGGUCUUUAUUGUUCUACCUAAACCUAUUGACACGUUGUAUACUUUGCUACAAACUCAGCUAUGUCCUUCUUCAUACCAUUCCACCAAUAGAUUUCCUGCAAGUCGCGGUACAUCUUGGUAGUGCCUGGAUGAAUAGAAUAACGUACGCCAUGCGCUUCACCCAUAAUUCUCUACCGUAAGUCAUCAACACAUGAGACACAUAACCUACCAUGCAAUCUUUACACACCAUCUCCUCCUUGGGAGAAAACCUUUACAUUUUGGUCCUUAACUGACUCCUUCAAUUUGACCAAACUAGGAUCCCUAUCUUGCUUCUCCUUCACUUCUGAAACUAAAGAGGAUUCGGAACUACUCUGCACCAACGUACUCCCUUCCACUAAAUCAAGCAAUCUAACACCCAACCUGGCCAGACAAUGCACAUCAUGAGCUAACUCUCUUUUACCUUCCUCUAUAUAUGCAACACUACCCAUGGACAAUCUGCUAAGGGCAUCCGCCACUAUAUUGGCCUUGCCCAGGUGAUACAACACACUCAUAUCAUAAUCUUUCAACAACUCUAACCACCUCCUCUGCCUAAGAUUCAACUUUUUCUAGGUAAACACAUACUGCAAGCUCUUAUGAUCGAUAAACAAAUCAACAUGGACACCAUAAAGAUAGUGUCUCCAAAUUUUCAAAGCAAAGACCACAACAGCUAACUCAAGAUCAUGGGUGGGGUAGUUAUUACCAUACGGCUUCAACUGUCUAGAGGCAUAGGCUAUAACAUUAUCUCUUUGCAUCAACACACAACCCAAACUUACUCUAGAGGUAUCAUAAUACACCACAAAACCAUCAGUACCAUCACGCAAAUUCAACACAGGGCUUAAGUGAGUCGAGUCUUCAACUCUUGAAAACUUUUCUCACAGGAAUUAGAUCACUAGAAUUUAACUUUCUUUUGGGUCAACCGGGUCAUAGAAGACGCAGCAAAAGAGAAACCCUCAACAAAACGAUGCUAAUAGGCCACGAGACCUAAGAAGCUCCUAAUAUCAGAUGGAGAAAUAGGUCUAGGCUAAUUUCUAAUGGCUUCUAUCUUUUAGGGAUCAACUCUAAUACCCUCGGCUGAAACAACAUGACCCAAAAAGGCUAUAGACCCUAGCCAAAAAUCACACUUACUGAAUUUGGCAAACAACGAGUGAUCUCUAAGAGUUUGCAAGACAAUUCUAAGAUGAGCUGCAUGGUCUUUCUCAUCACGGGAAUACAUAAGGAUAUAAUCUAUGAAUACAAUGACAAACAUAUCAAGGUACUGCUUGAACACACGAUUCAUGACAUCCAUAAAGGUUUUUGGGGCAUUGGUUAGCCCAAAAGAUAAGACUAGAAACUCAAAGUGAACAUAACGGGUCCGGAAGGUUGUCUUUAGAAUAUCACAUUCCCUCACCUUAAGUUAAUGAUAGCCGAAUCUAUGGUCUAUCUUGGAGAAAUAAUUUACACCUUGAAACUGAUCAAACAGGUCAUCAAUUCUCAAAAGAGAAUACUUAUGUUUGACUGUGACCUUUUACAGUUGACGGUAGUCAAUGCACAUACGCAAAGCUUUAUUUUUCUUUUGUAGGAAUAAAAUGGGUGCACCCCAAGGAAAAAUAUCAGGUCUAAUGAAACAUUUGUCUAAGAGAUCUUUAAGUUUCUCCUUCAACUCCUUAAGCUCUGCAGGUGCCAUACGGUAUGGCAAAAUGGAAAUAGGCCAAGUGUUGAGAAGAAGGUUAAUUCCAAACUCUAUCUCUCUAUCGGGAGGUACCCUUGGGAGAUCUUCUGAAAAAGCAUUGGGGAACUCAAUAAUAAUAUCUACCGACUGGAUAGUUGGAGUCUCGGACUUAGUGUCCUCGACUCUAACUAAGUGAUAGAUGCAACCUUUGGAUAUAAGCUUUCUGGUUUUGAUAUAGGAGAUAAAAUAACUCUUGGGAGAUACCUAUCUCCUGGACCACUCAAAUACUAGCUCACCAGGGAAUUGAAACUUGACCACACGGGUACGACAAUCUAUAGAUACAUAACAAGAAUAAAGCCAAUCCAUACCCAGAAUAAGGUCAAAAUCCACUAUGUCUAACUCUAUCAAAUCUGCAAGUAUGACUCCAUGAGACACAGUAACAAGGUAAUUUCUAUAUACUUGUUUAGCAACAAUAGACUCCCCUACUGGUGUAGAAACUAGGAAAGGCUCAAAAAUCUUUUCGGGACUCAUUUGGUAAUUCACAGCAACAAGUGGUGUCACAUAAGAGAGAUUUGACCCGGGAUGUAACAACACAUAAACAUCAAGACAGAAGACACAGAGCAUACCAGUAAUAACAUUAGGGGAAUUCUCCUACUCCUGAUGGGAUGGUAAGGCAUAGAAUCUAUUCUGGCGUUGACCACCAGUAGUACUAGAAGAAAUGCAUAGAGCAGGGGCGGGACAAAGUACCGGAGCUAGUGCACUAGCAGCCUAUGCUUGAGGUCGGCCAUCUCUGUUCCCCUGUCUAGAAUGGGGGCAAUAUCUAAGUCUGUGGCCCUACUUGCCACAACCAAAGGAACCCCUCAAAUCUCUGAAACACUCCUCAAGGUGAUUCCUACCACCCUUAGCAUAAUAAGGAUAACGAGGUCUGUUGCCAACACUGUUCUACGAUCCGGACAUGAAAGGUCUACUCCCUUGCUCCUACCUGUAUCUAGGCGCGGGAGCACUAGCUAAUGAAGGAACAGGAACCGAUGGAUGUCUUUGAAAUUUUGGGUGGCUUCCUUCAUGGAAACUAGGCCAACUUUACUCAUGUUGUCAGAUCUAGCCUUUUUGUUACCCUUCAUUCUUUCUCUCUCUCUCUAAGCUUAUCCGUCUCUAUCUGUUAGGAAUGUAUCAUCAACCUAGCCAGAUCCAUAUCCUUAUGCAAUAUCGCAACCCUACACUUAUUCAGUACCAUCCUAGAAACACUGGUCACAAACUUACUCAUACUAGCCCGGGUGUCAAAAAUCAAAUCAGGAGCGUACUUGGCCAACUGAUUAAACUUCAAGUAGUACUCCUUAACAAUCAUGGAGCCUUGCCUCAAGUUCAUGAACUCCUAAAUCCUUGCCUCCCUCAUUUCAAGUAGAAAGAACUGGUCCAAGAAGGCAUCUUAGAACACUUGCCAAGUCAUAGAAGCGGCAUUCUCACCUCUACCCUUCUUCCAUGAUACAACCCAAUCAUAAGCAAUGUCCUUCAGUCUAUAGGAUGCCAAAUUAACACUUUCUUCUUCUGAAAUAUGCAUCAUAUCAGUAAUCUUCCUCACCUUCUCUAAGUACAAUUAUGGGUCCAAGACGGAAAAGGACCCAUAGAACUCAGGCAGAUUUAUCUAUAUAAAGACACAAUCCUAACCGUGGCUACAUGACUACCCUGGUAAUUAGAAACUGGGGCCUGGUUAUUGGCCUAAACAUUUGCGGUGACUGCUUGGGCUAGUGCCUGAAAGGCCGCCUUAAACUCAGCAUGGGACACCGUUUCAUUCAAAGGAUCAAUAGGUGGGGGUGGCUCAUCAUUGUUUCCACGGACAUUAGCUCUUCAAUGAGGCAUUUUCUGAGAAUGAAAGAGCACGGAUCAUUCGAUAAGAGGGAUAACUGUAGGCACGAUAGAAUCUGAAAGAAGAAAUAAUUUUUCCUAGAACGUCUCCUAGGCUCUUGCACAUAGAUGUGGUGCGCUACACACCGAUUAUCAAGACUCUACUUAUAGCGGCUUGUCAUAGUCCUUAGGACUCCUUAAAAAUCAUAGGCUCUGACACCAAGUUUGUAAUGACCCAAAAUCACCUUCUGGGACGUCACACAGUGCUUAAGGCUACAAGUAGACCCAAGCUAAUCCUUAGAGCUGGUUUCUACAAACAACACUCAAUUAAAGAUAAAAUAGACUUAAGCACUCACAUAAUCAUAUCACGUGAAAGGAAAUAUGGAAAGAUACUCGGUCCAUAUUACCAAAAUAUAGAGAAACCUCAACAAAACCACAAUAUCGAAAACCUCGACACAUCACAAGUACGAUACUAGUCUGACAAAAUCUCUACGAAUUGAAAAAUAGAGAGCUGUUGGUACAGGUCCAAAACUGACUCAAAAUGAAAUGAAGAUGAAACAUAGUCUCUGAAAUACAAAAAAUAUCUGAAGAUCGAUCCUUGAACCAUAAAGACUCACCACUAUAGAAAAUAUAGGCAAGGUACUCAAAGAAUCAUGAAUAAGGCUGGGACUGAGCACCUGAGCCUACAUUAUAAGAGAAUGUAGCACAUAGACAUAUAUGUGAAUCAGUACUUUGGAAUGUACUGAGUAUACGGGGGUGAAUGCAUAUGUAUAAAAAUAGUAUCGAUCUUCUUCAAUCAAAUCAUGUAUGCAAAAUGUGAGAACUCAGAUGGACUGAACAAGUAUAAAAUAUAAAGAUCAUAAGUGAUGUAGGAUGGAGCAUAUAACACAAAUCUCAUGAGUCAUCAUUGUUUAAUCUUUAAAAUCAAAAAUCUUCUCUUAUUCUCAACGCCCAUCAGGUAAGGAACUUUAAACAAUAACUUCAACUCAUGCAUAUGUCUCAUGGAGAGUAAAACCUUCUUAAUGCUCAAUAUUUCAUAACAAUUUAGAACUCAUAUACUUGGAAAUCGGAAUCAUAUGACUGGAAAAACAUAGUUGAAGGUAUUUUAUUCACUUUAGGAAAUUAUCUCAUUUCAAGCUUUAGGUAAAAUCAUGCAAUCUCAAAUGGAAAAGUAUUCUAGCUUAAGGAAAUAACUUAUCUCAAAGCUUUAUGAAAAGUACCAUAACAAGGGAAGAUGCUUUCAUGUAGGAAAAUAACUCUCAUCAAGAAAAUACCUUGGUUUGGGAACAUUUUUGCAUUUCAACCAUUUAGGAAAGUAGACUAUAAGAAAAUAAAAUAAGUAUUUGAUCUCUAAGUUUUAAACGGCAAGGGAGGUUCUCAUAACUAACAUAAACCAUGCGAGCUACAUGGUUUCCAAUGUUUAUCCUCUUAAGAAAGAGACCUCAUAUUGGGGAGGAGCGUCAUACUAUUGCCAGGAAGUACAACCUAGGUCUAGUGAUCACUAAACGAAACUCGACUUUGGGCCCAAUUAUAAUCAUCAUAAACUCAGCCUCAGGCCCAACCUUUGGUGGAACGUAGUUUUGGGGUAAGAAACCGUAGUGACUUACCCGCUUGGUGCUAAGUACUACUCCCUUUAGAUUAUCUGCGCUCAUCUCACAAAAAUUCACUUUUAGAAUAAUCUCAUGGUUCACCACAAACCCAAUAAUCAAAUCGAUAAUCUCAUAUGAUGAAGUGGAUUUCAAAGCUUUUGGACCAUUAGGUCAAUUCAUUUCUCAAUCAUCUCAAAAUACUCAAAUCAUGGGUGCUUAUAGCAUAAGAGUUCAUAAUUUUACAAGUCUCAAAUAGGGCUUACUAACCCAUAGUUCAAUCUCAAGUUAAAGCUCAUCAAAAGCAUAAUAUAUAGCAUAUAUAUUCAUAAAUCAUGUGGAAAUCUGGGAAUUUCAGCAAUUUAUCUUAAAAUCUCAAUAUAGUUAUAUGCUUCAAUAUCUCAACAUUGCAAAUAUGAGUUUAUCAAUGAGUAAAAUCAUGGGGUUUAUAUCCAGCUGUAAAUUCUCAAUAAAACAUGCAAAAAUUAUGCCAUUUGACUCUUAAUUCAUAGGAAAUAUCAAGAUAAUGCAUUUAAUAAUAAUGGGUGAAAAAACACAAUUCAAAUUUAUGUAAAAACCUCAUAGAUUUUAGGAAAUUAAUGAUGUAAAUAAGUCUUUUAGGAACAAGGAUGAAAGGGUUACCCUUGUUCAAAACCCCACAUGCCUUGAAUUAGAAGCUUUGGAUGAACUCUCACUUUUGGAAAUCUAUUCGUACUCUUAAAUGAGGGUUCUUGAGGCCCUUGACUUGGGAACCUUGAAUCUGACUCAAUUUAGAAAAUCCAUGGUGGAUUUUUGAGAUUCUUGGAAAAGGUUUUGGAUACUUAGGGUUUUUUAUGAGAGAAAACUCGAGAAAAACCUCAUAGGAUGCUUACAAAUGACUUUGAUUUGGUGUUUGCACGGUUUUAUAUGCUUGGAAAAAGUCCAAAAUGCCCCUUUUAAUAUCUAUACAAAUCUGAAAAAUUGAACUAGGAACCCAAAUUAAGGGGUCACCGCGAUGCGCCACUUAUCGCGGUGGCUUACUGGAAUUGACAAUUGGCAAUAUAGGAGUCACCGCGACUCAGAGCCAUCACAUUUUCCCACUAGUUGGGACUUGGAACCUCAGUGCAAUGCACAAAUAUCAUGGAUUUCCACUGGAAUUUUACAAUUGUCAAAUCUACCCUCUCCGUGACACGCCAAGCACUAAAAUGACACAGUUUUACAACUAGGUCUUAAAUUAGUCAUAAUUUCUUACCCGGGUAUUGGAUUUGGAAAAAUAUUAUAUCGAUGGAAAGCUUAUUAGAUUUCCCAUGUGAUAGAAAGUCAAAAUUAGUGAAAUUCUAUAUGGUUAACAUGAUACUCACUUAGGAAGCCACUUCUCAAUCUUUUAAGGCCGAAAUCAUGCCUCACUUGGCACGCCCUACGGCUCAAACUACAAGUGAACUUUGCGUGGACUUACAAAAACCCUAUUACUGAUACUUUCUUCUAAUUAGAACUCUUGACUUUCUAUAUCCCUAAUAUUUAUCAUACAACAACUUAAACAUAAACUAACUUAGAAUUUUCAACUCUUCAGUCUAUUAGCUGAACUUUCAAAGAUUCAAACUUAGAUUCUAACACUUAACAUCGAUAUCCCCACACCUUUAAUGAAAGAUAAUAACUUCCUUCAUAAACUAAUAAUAUCAUAUCUCUAAAUCAUAAUCACACCAUCAUACUUAAUUAUAUCUUAAUAAACUAAAUUCUUGUAUAUACUAUUUCAAGCCUACUAAUUCACCUUUCAUACAACUAGCCCCAUGAAAUAUAAUUUGGUCUAAUUCAAUUAACACUAUUCCCACUCCUCUAUUGUUGCUAAACACCUUUUUUAUGCUUCUAAUUUUUGAUCGUAUGUUGCCACAGUAUUUUGAGAAAGAAUUAAAAAAUAUGUAUGACUCCUAUGCACUAAGGUACUACCCCUUUAUUCAAUGACUGGUUUAUCAAGAAACUAAAACUUAAUGACUCUAUUUCUAAAAUAACCUAAAGUGAUUAUGUCGAAUACUGUAACUAAGAAAUUUCCGUAUGCCCAUCUGGAUGGAAUAGGUCUACCUACUGGGGUAGAAACUAUGAAAGGCUCUACUAUAGUUUUGAGACUGACUCCAAAAUGGACAACUAUAUCGGGGUUACAAAAAAAAUGUAAAGCCCCGGUGUAUAAUAAAGAAUAAAUAUAAAGAUGAAGGACCUAUAAUGUACCUAUAGAAAUAUCAGGAGAGCUUUGCUAAUCCUGUCGGGACUGAAGUGCAUAUAGUUCAUUCUGAUGCUGGCCACUAAUGGCAUUAGAAGUGGCACCCUGCCAAGUCGGGUGACCAGACAGAAUUUGAGGGCGACUGUGCUGACUUCGUAGACCAACCAUAUGAUAUUAUAUAACUCUGUGCCCUAGAUUUCCAUAUCCAAAACAUACAUCACUACCGGCUCUACACACACCUUUAUGAUUUCUACCACAUUCUUCGCAAAGUGGAUUAGUACAAACUUUCUUCCCACUACCCUAUGACUUAGAGCCUGGUUCUCAAUCUCGACUGUCAUUCCUAAACUUAGGAACUGGUGUACUGGCUGAAGGAGGAGCUAGGGCUAAGGAUUUCUGAUGGAACUAGGAAUGGUUUCACCCUCUGACGUUAGCAUAAAAUUACCUGUUGUAGCCCUCUUACUUUUUUUUUCUCUCUCUCUCCCUACGCUCCUCCCCCUCAAUCUACUGAGCAUCAACCCUAAGUAUAGAUACAACAAUAGCCUACUGAUAGUUUUGAGUAGCUACUAAAUGAUCCAAGGUAAUGAAAGCAGCUCUGAAUUCGACAUAGGAGACAUUCAUUAAGGGGUUCUUUCUGAACAAGCGGAGGUACGGGAUGAUUCCCAUUCCUCCUUUCAUUUUUCCUUAUAGGAUGCAUGGUCUAGAACAAAAUUGAGAAAAUAUUAGGAAGAGAGUUUAAAUUAGGCUCAUAAUUAUUCACAUGACAUGAACACUGAAAGAAGGGAAACUUUUCCUAAAAAUGUUUUGUAGCUUCUUGUCCAUAAGUGUGGAGCUCUUUACACCCAUGCACAAGACUAUAUGCAAUAUGGAUUUCAGACUCCCUACGAUGCUUUAAAACCUUGGGAUCUGAUACCAAGUUGGUAAUGUGUAAGACCCCGUAAAAGUUCUAGUUCAAGUCAGUCCUAUAUAGCUUGUAAUCUUAGAAAAUUUCAGCCAAGUGUUAACACUUAGUCUCAUUUUUGUCCACAAAAUUUCAAUGACAUCAUUUACAAUAUUUUUGGCCUUAGAUUGUAGAUUUUUAAGUUGAUUCAUGAUCAGAGAUGUUAAUAGGUCAUCUUGGGUGAGUUUUAGAAUUUUCAGACAUCAUUUGAGUCGCGUUUGGAUAAUCAACAGCAAACCAAUGCGAUCUCGAUGCAUUGCAUUGGCUAUUAUAUCGACGCGACAUAUUGGUAAUCGCAUCGACAAUAUCAACAUGGUGCAUCGACACCAUCGACAUGGCGCGUCUCCUGCUGUAUCACUAGGGACAAUUUGAUCAUUUAAUUUUGACUUUUCAAGGGCAAUUAGGUCCUUUUCCCCUCACUUAAUUCAGCCAAAACACAAAAUUAUGCUCCCUAAAGGGAAAAAUAAGUUCAUUAUUAACAAAAUACUCUUAAUAAAUAAACCCUAGUUCAUCAAGCUCAAGACGAAGUCCAAGAAAUCCCCGAAAUCUUAAUGAAUUCCAUCACUCAGGUAUGUUAGGUGUUCAUCCUUGGAUUUCCUUCCAUCUUUUGAGUUUAAGAACCCUUUUUAAAACUUAACUUAUGAUUCCCAUGUUAUGAAUUGAAUUAUGCUCAUGUUUGUGUUGUUAUUUGAGUUUCAAAGUUAAGAAAAUAUGAGUUUCAUGCAAAAUAGAUCAAUGGGUAUGUUGGUUGAUGUAGAUCUCAUGUCAAACCCUAAAUUAUGAAUUGAUUGUUGUAGUCGUGAUGCAUUAACAUGUGUUCAUUCCCAUAUACAAGGUUAUGCUCCCGAGGUAUUUGACAAAAUUUCUAAGUGAAUGAAUUUUGUAUUGUGAUCUUUUGGUAAUCUUAGUAUUGAAAUCAAGCUAUUACUAUAUGUCUAAACUAAUCCCAUGCUUAAGGUAUGCCUUGCAAGUGUUUGAUAAAAUGUCCAUAUGAGUGAAUCAUGCAUGGUAACCUAUUGUUGUGUUGUUAAAGUUGUUAUAUGAGUUUUUCAAUUAUGCUAUCGAGUCUUGGGGGUAUUUAUUACCUGAAAUCUAGCUAUUUACUUAGUUGCAGUAGUUAUAGAAUCGUCCCAGUAAAGGUCAAGAACAGUAGUACUCAGUCAGUUAACAAAACUCAGUGAACUCAAUCCAGUAUAGUCAGUUAACACGAUCAGUGUCAGUUAAGUCAAGACUAGUACAAUCUAGUAAUCAGUUCAGUGCCGAUUCAGUUGUGAGUAGGAUUCAGCAUCGAGUGAACCCAGGGAUAGGGGCAUUCCCACCAGUAGAGGGUUUGACCCUUAGUAGCAUUCCAUGCAUUAUGGAACUACGUAGCUAGGGUAGGGUAAGUCAUCUUUUAGCCAGACUAAGGUUUACACAAUAAUAGAUAUAUUUUAUGAGUCUUUCUAGAUUAGGGUUGACCCAACAUUUUUAGUAUUACAUGGCAAGGUGCUAACAUCUUUCCAAGUAGGGUUACAGGUUAGACCCUAAAUCAGUCUAAAUUGGGUUAUGUCAGUUAGAUAAACACUCUCACAAUUACAAUUUUAAUCUCAGUACUCAGCAAAGAACUCAGUCAAUUCUAUAGAACCCUACCUAUCAGUUAUUAAUUACUCAGCCAUCAAAAUUCAGCACUCAAUUUUAGUAUAAUCUCAGAUACACGAUGUAUAUUUAUAUGCACAAUAUAGCAUGUUCAGUAUGUUCAGUAGUUUCAGUUUUGUAUGUACUCUUAUCUAGUUACUUCAUGAUGUUUAUUCAGUCAAUUAUCAGCUCAUGCAUAUAAACCUAUGUCUAUCAAACUUACCUCACUUAGCAUACCAGUACAUUCCACAUAUUGAUUGUAUACUUUGCUUUGCACUAUGAUGUCUCAUAUCAUAGGUUCAGGCGCUCAGUUUCCUGACCAUACUCAGUAGCUUAGGCUAUCUGCAGCAGCUAUACUGGGGGUCCUCAUAUUUCAAAGACAAAGUUUAUCCAUUUUAGCAGUUUAGUAGUUAUUUCAGUCAGAGUUAGUUGGGGGUUUUUCCUAUCAACUCCAUAUUUAGAUAGGUAGAUGCUUUUAGACUCACAUAGAAAGUUAUUAAGUUUUCAGAUAUUAUAAUCGAUUAUACUCAAUUCCUAUUAUUUUAGUAUAUUGAUAACCAUAUGGCAUUUUCAGAUUUUUCCUGCAUAUAUAUUUUAGUAUUAUAUUCAGUGCUCACAGCAGGUACUAGUCAUGAUUAGCUUGUGGUCCUUUGGGGUCGUAAGCAACAUGUGGCACCUAGGGUAAAGUGUGGAUGUGUUACAUAAUGCCCCGAGAGUACACCCUGGAUGCCACAUGAUGCAUGUGAUCCCAAAAGACCAUAAGCUAAUGCAUGACUGGUACCUACUAUGAGCACUGAGUAUAACUGAUAUCAGAAGAUCAUAUUUGUUAUUUAACUGAAAAAGCUAUAAGGUUUUAAGACAUAGUUCUAAUAAAAUUUGUAAAACAAUACUGACAAUACUGAUAAAACGACUGAAAACUGACUAACUAUCUGCACUAGUCUAAAAAGCCUCUAUUGACUAACUGUGGAGUUGAUGGGACAAACCCCCAACUAACUCUAACUAAAUAGAAAAUACUUACCUAAUAAGGUAAAAUAAGAUAAAUAAAUCAUGUCCUCGAAGUAUAAGGAUUCACCCCUGCUACGAUUGAUAAUCUGGUAUGUCUAUGAGCGAUCAGGGAACUAAGCAUCUGAACCUAUAAUGUUAACAUCAUAGCGGAAGAAACGAGUAUAUAAUCAAUACUUUCAAUGUAAUGGAAGGCUAAAUGAGGUUAGGCUAAUAUGCAUAGUUUUAUGUGCAUAAGUAAUAACUGACUGAAUGAAUAUCAUGAAGUACUAAGGAAGAAAGUAUGAAAACUGUAAAGAUUCAGAAUGUAUGGCCAAGUAUAAAACAAGAUUCUAAAAUAGUUUGUGAACUGAAAAUACUGAAAUAAUAAUAGUUGAAUAACUUAUACUGCAUAAUAUGGUCAAGAAAACCUAAAAUUGAUUUCUAGAUUGAGACUGUGGGAGAUAGCUAUAACCAACAUGCCCUAAUAUACUAUCAGGGUUUAACUUGUAACCCAGUAUGAAGGCUAUUAGUAUCGUGCCAUGGGUACCACUAAUGGCUUCGUGGAUCCACUAAGAUACUGAAGAACAAGGGUAUUAAGGCUAAACUGAUGGGUUAUCCAUGAGCGGAGUCAAAUCUAAUCUGAUGGGUGAUCCCUGGCAGGAAGUCAAGCCUAAACUGAUAGGUGACCCCUCAUCAUACGCUUACUACAUAGUUCGGGAAUACAAGGACUGCUACAAAUGACUCUGCCUAACUGAUGGGGAAGCUGUCAUUCCUACACACGCUCGAUGCUAAAUCCUACUCCCAACAAAAAGAUACUAAAUACUAUUUUGAACUAGGUUUAACUAUUUAUGGUAAUUGACCAAACUAAUAACACUCAUAUCUAUUCUUAAACCAUUAUGUAGAUACUGAAAAACUAGGUGAGUAGCUAAAUUUUGGGUAUUUAACCCCAGGACUCGAUAGAAAAAAUAACUAGAUCAUACUAAAACUUAAAGGACAUGAUAGGUAAGUCAUUAUUCAAAACUCAUUCUCUUAAACAUUUUAUCAAACAUAUGAUUGUCAUGAUUUAAAGCAUGUGGAUAGUUUAAAACAUAUGGUAAUCACAUGGCUAUAAUACUAAAUCAUAAAUUAGGGAUUUAAUGUGUAAAUUUUAAUUUCAACAACAACUCAUUGUAAACAUCAUGUAUAAUCGGAAACCAGAAAGAUUCAUGGAGAUAAUUUAUUGUAAACAUGUAAACUCAUGAUUUAAAACUUAAAAAUAGCUUCUUAGACUCCAUGGGUGAAAAGGGUCCAUGGAUGAACAUCAAACAUACCUAAACGCCUUGAUCUAGAAAGAGAAUUAACUUUUGUUGAAUGUUCUUUGAUUGGAAACCUUAAAUUCUUGAUUAUCUUGAAGAGAGUGCAAGUCUUGAAGUUCUUGGGAGAUUACCUUAAGAAGAAACCAUAAUUUUCUUAUUGUUCCUUAGAGUAAAGAGAGUUAAUGGCAUCUAAAAGUGAUAAGUGAUUGCUAAUAACAUAUAAUAAUGCUUUAGGUUAUGGGGGAGGUAGGGUUUGAAGUGAGAAAAAGACCAAAAUACCCCUCCAAAGUUAGAUAAAAAUUGCUGAAAUUUUUAGUUGAUGACUUGAGUUGAUAGCUUAUCAACUAGUUGAUGACUUAUCAACUUAAGUCGUCAACUCAUUGUUAGAUUUGGGCCCUUGCUGGUCAUGGGUGAUAACUUGGGUUGGUGAUGUCUUAUCACCACUAGUAGUCACUUUGUGGCUGGAAUUAUCACAUACUGAUUAUGGGUGGCGAAUUGAUUUGAUAAGUCAUCACUUAGGUGACGGUUUAUCAACUCAAGUCAUCACUUGAAAGCUGAAGUUGAUUGUUUACUUGUUGGAAUGAUAAGUCAUCACUUAGCUAACGACUUAUCAACUCAGGUCGUCACUUUGUUGACAGACAGACAUGCUGAAGUAAAAGGAGUAUAACUUUCUACUCCAAUGUCGGAUUAAGGUGAAACCAAAUGCGUUGGAAAGAAGAUUCAAAGAUCUUUAUUUGGGUAUAUAGUAGGUCACGUAACUCAUUAUGUACAAGGAUUAAUGAUCAUUUAAAUUUGACCCAAGCUGAAAUGUCCCCUAAAACAUAACCAAUAGAAGUGUUCUUAACUCGUCUUUGAGUUAGGAGAUUAUUGAGUUCAGGUUUGUAUACUUAGGAACAAUGUUUUAAAUUUUAUCCCAAAAAUGUGGAGUGUUACAACUUGUGAGGGAAAGUCGUGUUAUAACCAUGUUGGAUUUUCACAUUAAAACUUGUGUUCUUACUCUUCCUACAUUGACUUUAAUUUUCAGCACCUCAUAAUUGCUCUACUGAUCCAUCACUUGAAAUUGAUCCCGAGGGACUUGGUCCCUCACCGUGCGGUGUAACCUCCAAGGGUUCAGCAAAAGGUUUACUUUGCGCACAAUAAUAAUAGCAAAUCUCAAACUAUUCACGGUAGGUGAAAAAAUGAAAUUGCAUGAAAAGUGAAUCAUGCAUGUUGGUGGGAAGUUUUUUUCUUUUUUUGUCUAUUUCCAUAAAAACACUUUAAAUUAAGUUUUAGGAAUUUCUAACCUUUUAGUAUAUACUCCCAUUAGUCAUCUAGGUUUCAAGUGAAACUUUUGGAACUCCAUCACUAACGUGUAUUCUAACUUAUAGGUAAGCGACAUGCACACAAUUAAAAUAGGAGAAAAAGAAUACAACAUAACGAAUGUUAAUAUAACAUAUUUAUGGCUUCACUUCACAUUUACUUAUUUUAGACCCUUUUUAACUAACUUCUUAAUUUAACUUUCAUUAUUUACAUUCUGUAGAUAGUAGUUAAUGUCUACAUGUAUUUAGUGAGGAUUCAUACAAAAACAUAUAAACCUUUUUUCUCUCUCUUUUCAGCUACAAUAGAGAUUAAUAAGGAAAGGUACAGGAAUCAACACCUAAUAUUUUUUCCACCUUCCCCAUAAUAAUCUCUUUGCAUAUAUAUAUAUAUAUAUAUAUAUAUAUAGAUAGAUAGAUAGAUAGAUAGAUAGAUAGAUAGAUAGAUAGAUAGAUAGAUAGAUAUAGAUAUGUAUAUAAUAGCAUAAAUAGAUUCUAUUAAAUUAAUCUAUAUAUAUAAAGUAUACAUGUACAAAAUGUAUAUGUAUACAAAAUGAAAACAACAAAUAUUGAAUAUUAAGACUUUAAGUAUAUACAAUCCGUAUACAAAAUAUAUUAAGACUAUAUGUGCAACAACAUGUACAUAUAUUUAAGGACAUGUAUAUACAGUUAAUCAAAUGAGUAUACAAAAUAUAGAUGUUUAUACAAUUAUAUACAAUUAAGGAUGUAUAUUUGUCAGUAUGUAUGAUUAUAGAUACAAAUAUACAUUUACUCAUAUCUUUAAGAUAAAGAUGAACUGAUACAAAUUCAAAUAUAUAAAAUGAAUAUAAAUUCAGAUUAUAUGUAUAAAUAUACAAAUUCAAAAUGUAUAAAUGUAUACAAACUAAAAAUGUAUAUAUUCUUUCAAAAUGAAUAUUGAUUGAAGAGUGAAGGAAAUAUAACAAACUAAAUACAAAAGUACAAAUGCGCUGAUACCAAUAUACAAACAACUUCACUUUAUGACUAAAAAAAUUUUAAAAUACAAAUAUACAUUUUAUAGAUGUAUUUCAACUGAGGAUGGUGAAGAACACAUCACUACAAAUGGCGGAAAAGAACCACUACUGGCUCCACUUAGACCACCAAGCAAAUCUGAAAGAAUCACUAUUACGCGUCCUUGUUUUGUCGUCGUCCAACUUUUAAUAACCCAAAAAACCCCUCCAAGCAAAAUUUCCUCUAACCCCUCUUUCCUAUACUGUUCUGACAGAACCGACAACGACAACAAUGAAAAUCUACCAAUACCAAAGUGUUUGUUUGUGUUAGAUUCAGUUUUUGAUUUUGUUAAGUUUAUCAGUUUUGGUAUUUUUCUCUUCGAGAUUUCAGGUGAAUAGAGUGUUCAAAGGAAUUAUUUUUUAUUCUAUUUGGUCGAACAACUUGGGGGUUUUCUGAAGAAGGAGAUGAUAAGCGACGCAACAAGGAAGAAGGGGUUGCCGCCAUGGGAUUUCGCCGAGAAGAAGGUGGCAAGGAAGAGGGGUGUGGGCUUUAUCUUCAAGGAGGUAGCGAGAAAGAUGAUUUCCAUUGAAAUCUCUUUAAUAAUGGUAUUAUUAUAUCAUGUGCAAAAGUAGCCAAGAAGAUGAAUGCGAAUGUUUGAAAAAUCAAGUGAGAGAGAAUGUGUAUUAGGUAUAUACGUUAUUUAGAACGUUUGUAUAUGAGAGCCCACAUAAAAAAUAGAUAAAAAAUUAAAAAAUAAUCAUGUAAGUUAAUUAUUUUAAUUAAAAGUUACAUAAAUUCAAACUCUUUUGAAGUUAAUUACUACCUAUCCCAUCUCUUUUCAAUAUUACUAAAAAAUUUUUGAUUUAUCUCGCAUUAAUACAUCACAUUUUUUGAAUACAUCACUUAAUUUUACACUGAUACAUCACAUUCUUCUGGAUGCAUCAUAUUUUUCUGUGAUGUAUCUGAGCUUUUAAGUAAAAUUAGAAUUUUAUAUUAUUUAAAAGAUUUAAAAUUUUAAAUACUUAUGGUAAGUUAAAUAGUAGUAUGAUAGAAUUUUUUCAUUUAUUUUCCAGCGAGGAAACCAAACCACCUUUCCGUCCCAUAGUUCAAUAGUAAAAAUACAAAAAAAUUACAUCAUAGCACUAAUAAUCCUAUUAUAUCUUUAAAAUGUCGUAUAUUAUUUUUUUAAUUACAUCUUGUACCAUAUUAUUAUGUAUCUGAAAAGUAAUUGUAACGAUUUAAUUGUUGGUGAUUUAUGUGAAAUAUUUAUUUUCAUGUGAUUUGAUUAUUUUAUCCCUAUUCAUAGUAACUUUGUGAUAUUUUGGGGUUUGACAUAGUUUCUGAUGCAUUUUGGUGUGAUUUAUGUGAUAUUGUGAUUUUUGCUUGCUUGAAUAGCCUUAUAGUUAGUUGACUUCAGUCAAUAUUUAUUGAUCUGUACAUUGGAUGGCUAAACGUACUGCGCCAGUAGAUCUGAAACAUCAAUUUAAGGGUGGUAACAUGGUUGGUAUGGUUUUAUGGCAUUUAUAUCUCAUUUCGACCCACCAUUUAGAGAGUUGUGAUAUUGGGUUUCAAGGGCCAACUUUAUGAAAAUGACAUUUUUUCAAAAAUUCGUUAUAAUCAUUGAAUCAGAAGUAUCGAAUUAGAUAGGGUAGCAAAGUUUGUUUGCAUUCACGAGAUUCUAGAUAAAUUCUGAGAGGUUCAUGAAGACUUGAAAUUCUCCAAGUUUAUAGCUGGUGCACUCGCGUAAGCGAUACUUUGAUCGCUUACGUGACUUGACAGAUCAGACCAAGUGUUGAUUAUGAGAUAUCUUGGUUGCGAUUGUGAACCCCACAUAAGCGAUGACAGGUUCGCUUGCACGAUGUCUAUCUCUAGCAAGGUAUCGCGUACGCGACACCUAGUCACUUAAGCGGUCGCUUAAGCGACCCUGUGAUCGCGUAUGCGAUGAGUGGAUCCUUUAAAUACCUAUGUUUCACUAUAUUUUCACCAUUUUUGUGACUUGGAGCCUAGGCUUUUGUGAUUUUGAGUGAUUUCCUCCAUUUCUAAGCUUGGAUAAGCACCAAAACACCUAUUUCAACUAAUUUUAUCAUUUAAAUCUAGUUUAAAUGAGGAAGUUUAAAAGUAAAAAUUGGAGAUUUUGGCUUCGGAGGUUUAAAAAUUGUAUUUUUGAAAUGUAAACCCAAUUUCAAUAUGUUUUUACUUGGAUGAGUUUCUAGUCUUAUAAUUAUCACUUUUCUCUCAAUUUCAUCUUCGAAACAACUCCAAUUCUCGAUUUUAAACUGAAUUUCUUGAGUCUUGCUAGUAAAGCUUGAAAAUAAUUUUUUAUCGAUUUGGACCUUAUUUUUAACUCGUUUUCGGCUGGGUUUUUUGUUGUAGCCUCCUAAGAGUAUGAAAAACAUGUUUCAAAAAUUAAAUUAUAAUUUACCCUUAUUUUUUUAAAAUUCAUUACGGGGGUCCAUUUGACUCCGACUCAAAAUUAGGCAAUAUGAGUAUCGUUGACUUUUUUUUAUGCAUAGAUUCUAUAUUCCUAUGUAUUUGGAGUAAGUCUUAGAAGAUUUUUGGAUCGAUUUUCGGCAUUCGAGGUGGGUUAUGGCUUAACUUUCUUCAAAUUAGGUUGGGUAUUUAAUGCUGAUACAAAAUCAUGUUAAGAGUGUGAGAACUAUUAAUAGAAAUGACUAUAUUUAUUGUAUUGUGCCCAUGUAGGAGUCUCUAUAUUAAUGUUAUUUAGUAGUUUUGGACUAUUAUUUACUAUGUGUGACCGCGUGGGGUUCUAUAUAAUAUUAUUGUCCUUUUGUACAUGAAAUUAGUUGUAUCUUGUUUGAUAAAAAAAUCUAAUAUGGUACAAUGGUCACUUUUAAUGUAUUUCAUUCUAUUGGUAUAUGGACUAUGUUGGAUUCAUGGAUGGUUGGAUUAAUGAGUGAAUUUUGACUCACUUUGUGGGAUAUUGUUUGGAUAUGAAAUUUCUUAUUCUAGUUGGAUGUGAGCAUUACAUCCUCAUAUCAAUUCAUUCAUGAAAUAUUGGUACCAUCUUGAAAAUACUUGAAACACUAGCUUUUCUGAUAGAAAAGGUAAUAUCUUUAAAACCUUCUACUGAUGGAUGACCUAGAGAGGAGAUAAGAAUAUUGGUAUUGGAUAUUGGUUAUGUACGAAUUGGCGAACCCCCCAUGAGUCAUACAUUGAAAAACUUUAGCUCUGUAGGUGUGUAUGGAGGCUGUGUGAUGACCCCAUGCAUCACACCAUCAUCAUCAUCAUCAUCCCCAUUGAAUUUAUAUUUACAUUGUACCAUUAUUUGUGUUGCAUUAUCUCCCUUGAUGUAUACCUGUCUAAGUGUAUUUCUUCCUUUAUAAGUGUAUGUGUGAUAUUUGUAUACUUAUAUUCCUUUUUCGUAGUCUAUGGUGUAUGUGAAUAUUAUAGAACUAUUAGUGAAGACGGUGUGAGCUACCGUUUGGGACAUUUUUUUGUUGCAGGUGACGUAUCCUUAGUAUGUAUUUUGUAUGUUUUAUUUUCUACUUUUCUCAGUCGGCCUAUGAUACCUAUUUAGAAUAAGUAAACCGUACUAACCCCUACUGUGCUCUUUCAGUGCAGAUCUAGGUUUGAGUGUGCCUCACGGUGGUUGAUUUAAGAGACAUUUGGAGCUUUUCGAGGUAACGGUUGAUUUCAUGCGUCUUGAGUUGACUACUAUUUUUCCUUAUUUAGACUAUGUCUUUAUUUGUAUUCUGAGACAGAGUUGUUCCUAUUUUGGAUAACUUAUGUAUUUUGAUCUCGAGUUGUACUAGUUAUGUUUGUAUUGGUAACACUAGAUUUUGCGCUUUGGUCUGGUAUCAUUGACUAUGUUUUUUCACUUUUACUAUAUAUACAUGUGGUUCGACUCUGCUCUAGGAGUUUUGCUGUAGGGUUUGAUAUCAUUUUUCUCAAUUCAUAUUAGUUUGGGUGAUAAGCUUGCUUGUCAAGGCUUACCGUGGUAAGUGCCAUCAUGACUCUUGGAUUCUGGAUCGUGAUAACAAUGUAUCUGAAGAAUUAUACAUCCGAAGAAACUUGUACGUGAGAUGAUAUAUCAUUAGUUAACUUAUAUAUCCCGAAUAAUUAAUUAUGAUCAUGAUACAUAACAAUCAACCUAACUUAUGUAUAAUGAAUUAAUUAUGGGCAUGACAUAUUGAAAGUUAUCUAAUAAUACUACACCUUAUAUAAAACAAUUCAACGUAUUCGAAGAAAAGUAAUGUAUCUAGCUAACAAUUAUUUGGAAUUUUAUGUAAUAUUUAAAAUAUAUGAGGUAUAGAGUAAUUAAGUAUCAUAGUAAUGAGAUUUAUAUUGUUUAUGCCACUUUGAAUUUCUUGUGAAGUCCACUUUCUUGUUAAUAUUGACUAAAACAAAAAUGUGUGUAUUUCAAAUCAGUAAGAUUAAAGUUCAUUUAUAAAUGUGAUAAUUAUUUUUUCCCAUAUUUCACCCAUUAGUCAAAUGAUUCGAGAAAAUAUAAAAUAUUAAUGGCCUGUCACUAUUGUUCUUCCUUGUGGGUUUGGAGAAUGUUGGAGGGAUGGAUGUAAAAAGGUUGACAUUAAAUCAAUAGUACUACUGAUUAUUAUGCAUAUAAUAGAAAGAAAAAAAAGAAAUAUACUAUUGAAGAAACAUUGUCAGUUUAGGCUUACAGCUGAACUUUGUUGGUUCGUCAAAUUAUGUGUUUAAGACGAACAUUUUCAAUGCAUGGCAGGUGCUGAGAUUUAAGUACUAGUCUUAAUUAGGUCUAAGCAUGAAUUUGGAUAUAGUAGAUUCACUUUUAAUAAAUGGAAAAGAGUCAGAAAUACCUUUCAAUUGACAUGGUUUAAUAGAUUUGAUCGGGUAAUUUUAGUUGGGUAUGAAUUUAGUUAUAAGAUAAUAAGAUUUAAACUAAUUUAAUUUACAAUCAAUAGAAACGUUACACGUAAUAAAUACUAUUUUUAACUAUGUUUAAAAAAGAUUCGUUAGCUGUAAGGAAAUAUUUAAUCCAUAAAGGUGAAUAAAAGGAUAUUUUUGGCCUAAUAGAUAAACAAAUAAUAUUUUGAAUCAAUUCCAAUAGAAUAUUUCUUACCCUUUUACAUUUAGUAAAAAGUGAUUAGUGAAAACUGGUUCCGUUUCAUCAUUCCAUGAAAUAUAAAGAAUGUCGCGUCACUUCAUGCUAAUAAAAUAGUGUCAUAUUAUCAUAAAUUAUUGAUGUCAUUUUUGGUAAUCUUGAAUCGACUUGUCUUCUCUUCAAUGCAAUCUAUUAAUUAAAAGCUCAUAACGAACGCACAUAAAUUAUUGUCUUGUGGUUGUUUUUACAAAUCAUUAGACCAACAAGAAAUGAAGUUCCUACUAUAUGUAUUUGGUAUUUGGUCCCCUAAAUUGCACAAAUCUCUUUAGGAUUGGACCCACACGACAGUAUAUGGCUCCUUCACUCUUAUUUUUGGGUUUCUUAACCAAUGUCUCCUGCAGGGUCCGACUAAUUCGAAUUCGAACCUCGUAAGAUUCAAUCAAGGGAGCGCGCACUACUAGAAAUUAGGUCUAUGAGAACAAAUUUUUUGGCGAUGAUUAUAAAUACAUUGCUAUAGAGUAACUGCAGCAACACUAUCAAAAAUAAUUGUUUAUUAGCACUAUAACCAUUGGUACUGAAAAUAAACCAUCGCAAUAGAUAUAUAUAUAUAUAUAUAUAUAACAACACUUUUAAAAUCAUUGCCAUAAAAAUAUCUAUGGCAAUGCUUAUUCAGGAAAAAUUAUUUAUCGCAACACUUAUUAAUUCCCUCCAUAAUAUUUCACAUAAAUCUGCCUAUAGAAUACAUCAAAAACCCCUAUUUCUCUUUCUUAUGAAAAUCCCUCUCUUUCUCAUCAAUCAAAAACCCAUUUCUCAAAACCUGUUUCUCUUUAGAUCAAUCAAUCGUCUUACUACCAUUUUCGACAUUUUUGUCACCGUCGGUGUAUUUUGUUCUUGUCAACAUUCUUUUAAAAAUUAACUAAUUUUUGUGUAUUUUGUUCCAUGUUUUAUUCUUCUUUUCUUAACCUUGCUUAUAUAUAUAUAUAUAUAUAUAAAAACUAAAGAAGAACAUUUAAAAUUAUUAGAACAGUUCACAGAUAUAAUAGUAAAAUCGGGAAUAAGUCUAAGCAAAAAGAAAGCUGAAAUUAUGAAAAACCAGAUAGAAUUUUUAGGAAUACAAAUAGAUAAAAGUGGAGUAAAAAUGCAACAACAUAUAGUACAAAAAAUAAUAAAUUCGAAAGAAGAAUUAGAUACAAAAAAGAAAUUACAAUCAUUUUUAGGAUUAGUAAACCAAGUAAGAGAAUAUAUUCCAAAAUUAGCAGAAACCUUAAAACCACUGUAGAAAAAAUUAAAAAAGGAUAGAGAAUAUAAUUAUGAUGAAAAAGAUAAAAAACAAGUUCAAAAAAUAAAAUUACUUUGUAGAGAAUUACCUAAAUUACAAUUUCCAGACGAAAAUAGAAAAUUUAUAUAUAUAGUAGAAGCAGAUGCAAGUGAAUAUAGUUACGGAGGAGUACUUAAAUAUCGAUAUGAAGCAGAAAAAAUAGAACAUCAUUGUAGAUAUUACUCAGGUACGUUCAACGAAACAGAAAUAAAAUGGGAAAUAAAUAGAAAAGAGUUAUGUUCAUUAUAUAAGUGUUUAUUAUCAUUUGAGCCAUAUAUUGUAUAUAACAAAUUUAUUGUACGAACAGAUAAUACACAGGUACGCUGGUGGCUAACAAAGAAAAUACAAAAUUCAGUUACAACAAAAGAGAUUCGAAGACUAGUUUUAAAUAUAUUAAAUUUCACAUUUACAAUUGAAGUGAUUAGUACUAACAAAAAUGUCAUUGCAGAUUACAUAUCAAGACAAAGCUACACAGACUGAUAUAGUAGAGGAAGAUACUCUAGAAAAAAUACUUAACACCCUAACUACGCUUUCAAUGAAAGUGGACAGUAUGGGUAAUGAGAUAGAAAAGCUAAAGACUAAUGAAGAUAAACUGAAGUCUAUAGCUACAAAUCAGCUAACUCAGCAAUGUGCAGAGCUAUGUCGAUCGAAAGACAUUAAAAAUCCAGAGCUAGAAGGAGACGUUGGGACACUCCAUAAAACCCAUAACAUUUAUCAAUCUACUUCUGCAGGUACAAGCAAAGGAGUUAAUAGACCAAGAUACCAAAAUGCAAAUAUGAAUAAAAUAUUCGAAAAACCAUUUACCCCUAAAACACAAAAAGACCAUUUAUUCAUACCCCCACAAGUUAAUACAUACCGAGACAGCCUAAACCAAGACAAGAAAAUAUACAACUACACAUCCCAAAAAUACAUAGAAAAUAUAUACAGAGUCCAAACAUUUCUAAACCAUAACCCCAGAGCUACAGAUAUCAAAGAACCAAACACCAAUUAUAUAACCCAAAAAUUACAAGGAUACAACAAACUGAUAGCACUACCCAAAACUAACCCAAGCCUAGUUAAAACCUGUUUUGACUAUGGACUACUAAAUACCAUAUACACCCAAGACGGAGAAGAGCUAACAGCUAUGGAGGAAUUAUACAAGAUAUUUACUACCUAUAAAAGAAUAACAAAAGGAACUUUAUUUUAUAUAAAAUGUUAUACGGCACCAGCAGAGAUAUUAUAUGAUGAGAUAAAACCAGUGAUACAAGUUGUAAAGAUAGGACUGACAAGAGACAUGAUUAUACCGGAAGAUAUAUCGCGACAACCGGAGAUACCUAGAAUAGAGAUACCAGAUUUUUACGCAAAUAAAAGACUUAUUGGACUAGCUACGAUCAUACAAGAACUAGCAAAUAACUACGCUAACGGAAAUCCAAUAUGGAGCUACUAUUCAAGAGACCACCAAAUGAUAUAUUCAAAUUCGAAAGAACUAAGACAAGCAGAUAUGGAAGAUGUAAGACAGUGGAUAUUGACACUACUCAACCCAGAAAAACAAUCUACCGCACGAGCAAUAAAAAAGGGAUUUAUUUCAGACGGACUACUAACGAGAUACUGUAAGAUAAUUGGACAUAAAUAUCCAGACCACCAAUGUUCGAGGUGCAAUGGAGAAGAUAAUAUUAUUCCAGAGGUACAUCUAGAAUAAAGAAGAUAAAAUGCCAGCUGGAAGGAUAAAGAUAAAGAGCAAUAAUGGAGCAGAUACAGAGCAAUAAUAGAGCAGAUACAGAGCAAUAAUGGAGCAGAUACAGAGCAAUAAUAGAGCAGAUACAGAGCAAUAAUGGAGCAGAUACGACAAAAUCAACGGAGACAAGAUACUGUACAUUAAUUAAUUUGUUAGACUUUUUACGUAGAAAAAAUAUAUGUAAGCCACUAUUGUUGACUAUUGUUUUCUUUAGUUUUAGAAAUUGUAAGUUAGAUACCUUUUUGACUUCUUAGGCUUAGUUUUAAUUGAGAAACUUUACGUAACUUAGAAUUUUAGGAAAAGUUAGAUGGGGAUAGACCCCACUU